ACCACCAUGCCGAGUUGUUGGUGGAGAGCAAAUCCAACCAGGACACUACGACAUCAACGCAAACGCACAAAACCUGACUCCGAAGUUGCACUUGUGGGCGCUACCCAAACGAGUAUGCAAGUGUGUCUCUACCGAGCUCAAUCAGGCUCUCACAGGCUAUAAUCAAAGCAAAUGGGUCUAACCGAUUUAACAACAAAAGUUCACGUGCCCUUGGCACAAUCUGAUGCAAAAACAGAAAUCUAGGUCCACCGUCAACCGCGACGGCACCCCACAGUCCGAAAAAGUCUACACACUACUGUAAAAUAAGCUCAGCAUCCCAGCACGAGCGUAAACUCAUUCUACACUAAUCUGAGUAUCCACUGCAUACAAAUUGCGGCGAUACAAACACACUACAGCUCCUAAAGCUAAAUCUGGUAGUUUUUAGAAAAUGACAGUGUAGGAUCUAAUAGUUUUCUCCUAAAUCAAAUCCAAGUCCAACAUGUAUAAUUCAUCUAUAUCACUAACUAUGCUUCAAAUUCAGAUUUCAAAAAACAUGCAAAUCAACGAAUUCGAGCUAUUACACAUGAUAUACGAAGCCAAAAAUACAUACUGUAAACUCCGGCUUAGGAGGAAAUCCGACGAUUUCGGUAAACAUUAACCUAUCUCGAAACGCUAAUCCAACUACGGCAAGAAGUCGAAAGGAGAGGAAACCACGCGCUCGCCCGGCCUCCAACGAUGCAACCGCGACGCACGCACACUCGAACGACCCUCUGAAUCGACGUCGAAAUCUCCCGAGCUCGAGCCACAGCCUCCACUAAGCACACGAUCAAAACGAGAGAGAGAGACAAAAAAGGAGAAGUAUCCCAAGCUCAGUUGAGCAAGUAGAUAAAGAUGAGAGAGGGUAGGUGGCGUUCUUAUCCACCAACACAAAUGACCAUACUACCCUCCACCAACUCAAAAAGCUAGCUGGAGUACCGGCACCCGAUUUGGUUAUCAGUACUCGGCCUCUCAGUCCGCAAGCUCACACACAGGGUACCGGUACCAGCCCGAUACUGUAUCGGUAUUCAACACUGAAAUCCUGCACUUUGCGGAUUUCAGCGUCAGAACUUCACUUUCGCCUUGCGUCGAGUCCGUUUUGUGUCCAUUUGGUGCCAAAACGACUCUGACUUGUCCCGACACUCUCCAGAUAUGUCGACAAGCCUCAGAUGUUGAAAUCUCACUGGUAACCAAAAUACUAGGGAUACUACAUCUAUAUCUAUAUAAAAUAAUGAAAGUUGGGUUCUCGGAAUGCGCCAUGUGACAGCGCGGGCGGACGCGGCGCGAGCGGGCGCGGAAACUCCAAGUGGCAGCGGGGGCGGGCGUGGGCACGCUCGAGGGAAGCGGGUCGCGCGAGGGCAGGCGCGACGCGGGUGGGUGCGGGCUCGUGCAAGGGGCACGAGCGGGCGCGUGCGCGGGCGAGGGUCGCGCACGGGCGCGAGCGAGCGCACCCGGGUGGGAUUUUUUUUUCCCCUUCUCUCUCUCUAUCUCUCUCUCUCUCUCGGCAGUGGGGCAUUUUCUUUUUUUUCCAACUCAUUCCUCUCAUUCGCUCCUAUAUGACUUUUAUUUUAUUUUUUUUAGGAAUUGAGUUUCUUUUUUAAAUCCAACCUAAAUCUUUUUAUUAUAAAAAUUUCAAAUAUAUAAUUUUUUAUACGUGAAUUUUAAAAUCUAACNUUUUUCCAACUCAUUCCUCUCAUUCGCUCCUAUAUGACUUUUAUUUUAUUUUUUUUAGGAAUUGAGUUUCUUUUUUAAAUCCAACCUAAAUCUUUUUAUUAUAAAAAUUUCAAAUAUAUAAUUUUUUAUACGUGAAUUUUAAAAUCUAACUUAUAGAAUGAUUGAAUUGUAAAAAAUAAAAUUUUAAAACAUUAAAUUUUAUAUAGUUUUAUUUUGAUUUUAAUAUCAAACUUUAAUAUUAUAUUACAAUUUGCUAAGCGAUCAAUUUUACAUUUACAAUUUUUGGAAUAUCCAAAAUAUAAUUAGUCGCCUCUUAAUUUUAACAAUUAUGCAUUAUAAAAUUUGUUAGAUAGUUUAAUAUUUUUUUUUUUUCAAAUAAAAUGACUAAUUUAACAAAACCAAUCGAUACUCAACUAUAUCUUCAUUUAGAAUAAUUACAUUUUUGGUCUUCAAAUUAGUAGGAUCUGUGACAAUUGUUCCAAAUAUUUUUUUAAACAAAUAUUGUGUGGUACCGCGGACGGACGCGGCGCGGGAUGUUAAUAUAUAUCAUGUUUUAGUAACUUUUUAGUAAAAAAAGUUAUUUAUAAAAUAAUUUUCAAAACUAUGAAAUUUGAUUAAUUUUUAAUUAAAUAAAGUUGUUAGAAUAAUGUUUAAUGUAUAUAAUAAUACUAUUUGAUAAUAUUUUUAUUUAGUUAUAAUUUUUUAAUCUUAAAAAUUUAAUAAUAAUAUAUUUUAAUUGAUUGAAAUACCAUCUGCGCGCUGCGAAACGCGGGUUCUGCGCCAGUUUAGCUUUACCGGGCGCCAUCCUAGUUUCAUCGUUUCUUUUUUCUGUUUCUCUUACGUGCGUGCUGAUGUCCGCACGUGCCAGAUUUUCUAAAUCUCUUGCGCGUGUGCUGAUGUUAAUUUGCACGUGCUGCAAGGUUUUUCUAUUUUCGUUUACGCGUGUGCUGAUGCGUGCACGGCAUCCGCAGCCGUUUCCUCCUGUAUAUUUCCCAACAUACCCCUCCAGAGCCGUUCACAACCCCAAAAUAUCAGCUCAUCUUAUCACAGAUUCACAAUCAUAGGGCGUUAAAUCGAGCAGUAAUUUAUUCGACGCAUAUUUAAAUAUUUAAAUAUAUAGAUAUAAAUGGUGUGCAGAGUUACAUGCCUACAUAUACUUUCAAAAAUAUAAACGUGUUGAUAUUUUUGACUAUUUGAUUUCUAAAUUAAAAUUUAUUUUUUUUCUGAGAAAAAGAUAGCACAUAUGUCACCUGUUUUUUUUAUAUUCAUAUACAAAAUAGAUUCAGCUACAGAAGUUGAGACUUGAGACAAUUCGACAUCGAAUAAGAUAUAGGCCCCCAUACCAAAAAAUAAAAAUAAUAUAAAAGUAAAUGAUAAAAAAAGAAAACUUAGAAAAAUAAAAUAAAAUAAAAUAAGUAAAUAAAAUUUAAAAAAAAAGUAAAACUAAAAUUAUAAGAUUAAGAUGAUAGUAGUUCUCUGAAAUUUAGUGAUCCCUUUUGGAGAAUAAUAUUAAUCUAAGCACUAAAAAUGAUCAAAAAGUUGAUCUAAGUAUUAAAAAAUGUACCACAGCCGGACUCUAUAUAAAUCAUACACUCUCUAUAUAUAUACAUACUGAGAUUUAUAAAACUUUUAAAUUUUUAGUUUUAAAAAGUUGGUGAGGCAAAUAAUAAAUAAGAAAUUUUUAAUGAGUGGAGUGUAAUAUGUAUAACUAAUUUAGGGGUGCAAUAAAUAAAAAUAAUAACUUAAAUAUAAUAUUUUAUAUUAUUUUUAAAUAUUAGGUUGGAAAUUGUUAAUUACUACUUCAUAUUUUUUACUUAACUAACAAAACGUAAAAUAUAUAAAGCGAAAAUAAUUAGGUCGGUUCCCAAAAAAUGGGUUUUAUUAAGUUUUUCCGAUUAUGCGUUGAAAUGAGUUUUAAAUUUGUCGGAUUUUGCCUAUGCCUCGUACAUUAAUGUACAAACUAAUUAAUACUAUGCAUUAAUCAAACUAUGUACUAUGCAUUGUACAAACUGUAAGUGCUAUGCAUUUAUCAAUUACCUUUUUCGUCAACUUUAACCUUAUCAUUUAUCCAAUUACAAUUUUUUUCCCUUGAUAAAGAUAAGACCUUUAAAAUUAUUUAUAUGACAUAAAUAGGAAAAAUAAUAGGUUACAUGGUAUAUACGAGCAAACGCGAGAUUGAGGUGUAAACAAUAAUUUUUAGUCUAAGAAAGGACUAAAAUGAAAUAUGAUUAAGGGUUUAGGGACUCGUUAGUAAACGUAUUAUAGCGUUGUAAAUGUGGAAAUCAAAAGCUUUAUUAGGAACCAAAUUGAAACUUGUGUGAACAUUCACAAAGACCAGCAAUUCAAUUUACCCAUUUUAAGUUUCUGACCGUAAAAAACAUUUAAUUAUUUUUAUAAAAUAACUAUAUGACUUACUUAUUUCAUUUUAUUUUAAAAAGUACCAAACAAUUAUUAAAUUUUGAAAUUUGAUAUAUAUAUAUAUAUAUUUUAUAAUGAUCAAUACUUUUAUGUUUUUUAGUAUUCGUUGUUGGCUUAAAUGGACCAACAUUCUAUCAUGUGACGGAAGGCCAGGUUGGACUUAGUGAUAUGCGAGAUGAUGUAAGGUUGGGUUUGGUCGAAUCAUAUUUGAAGUGGCAUGAGGCUAGUUGGGCCGAGUCACAAUCAAAAUGCAUUGAUGCUGUGUCUGUAUGCUUUAAGUGAAUUGAUUGGUAACAUUCAGAACGUCCGGCGGAGAAUUUGAUAAUAAUCUAAUUAAUAUACUAUGAAUGCAGAAAACUAAAAACAUUAAUAUAUAAUUCACUUUGUAUUUUAUUAAUAUAAAAAGUACUUGAAUUAGCUAAUAAAUUCACAGAUUUUUUAAUUUUUUUUAUCAAUAUUUGUGUGGAAAUAAAAAAAAUUUGAAGAAGUAUUUGGGCAACAAACCAAGUGUUUGUGAUUUGUGAUGGAGGAUUCAAAAAUUUAGAGAAUUUUGUCUCUAUAUUUUAAACAGUACGAGGACUAAACUGCAAUAUAGGAUGACAUAGGGACUAUUAGCACAUUUCACCAUCGUCCUUUUGUUAGAUCAUUUUUUUUUUUAUCAGGGUAUAUUAGUAAAAUCGCAUUUCUCGCACCUGAUUCCACCAACGACCGUGGAAUCUGCUCCCCGUCGAUUCAACAUAAUUCUCCCUCCUCAAAAAAAUCUCCGCCCCCACCCCCACCCCCAUUACCCACACUACGUCCCCCCAUGGCGGCACACGGCGACCUCGAAUCCUCGCUCCUCCGCGAUCCUGCGCCGCCCCGGCGCACCCGCACCCUCGUCCCCGCCGCCCUCCUCUGUAACGAUCCCACAACCCUUUCUCUCGAUCUCUUCCCGAUCAUCUCAAACCCUAACGUCAAAUCGCUGUUGUUGCUGUUCUUAUUGUUGCUGUUGCUUUUUUGGGGAUUGAUCCGCAGUUCUAGGGCUUUUCCUCCUCUACUGCGGCGUCGUCGUCGUCGUCGUCGUCUUCGAGAGCGGGGGGGAUUGGGGCGAGGAGGAGGAGCAGGGGAGGCGUCGAUGGCGAUGGGGGAGGGGGGAGGGGGAGGGCGAGGUGGAGUCGGAGGUGGGAGUGGUGGCGGCGGACGACGGGAGGUGCUCGGAGGUGGGGGCGGCGGCGCUGAGGGCCGGGGGCCACGCCGUCGACGCCGCGGUGGCCGCGGCGCUCUGCCUCGGCGUCGUCCACCCCGUCUCCAGCGGCCUCGGCGGCGGCUCCUNCUUCCUCGUCCUGCGCGCCGCCGCCUCCGGCCGCGCCCUCGCCAUCGACGCCAGGGAGACUGCGCCCUCCGCCGCGUCCCAGGUUCGGAUCCCCCACGCCUCUCCCCCCGCCCCCCUCGCUCUCUCUCUCUAUAUGUUUCUCUCUCUAUGUCUCUCUCUCACUAUGUUUCUCUCUGUACGUCUCUCUCUGAACUAUUGUCUUGUCUAACCUAAAGAGAGAAUUUUUCUCUAUAUAGCCUCUUUUUAAUAAAAUAUUUUUAAUUUAACCUUAUUUUUAUAAAUUAGAAAAAAAUAAGUUAAUAACUUUUUUUAUAGAUUAAUAUUUUAAGUGGGUGGAAGAUUUUUUUUUUUUUUUCUCUUCUUUCUCCUAUUUUCCAAAUGUCAGAAGUUAUAAAUUUAUCAUUAUUCUUACUCUUAUAUUUUUGUAGUCUGUUUUAUACGUGCAAUAAAUUGCCAAUCUUUUGUUGAUAACUAUUACUAUGUUGAGACACUAACAAUGAUCAUACAAUUAAUGAUUAUUGGCAAUCAUAUUCUGAUUCUAUCUUAAUUCCAAACGAAUUUAUGCAGAGAUAAAAAAAAGAGUCGUCCAAAAUCAGCGCGGAUUCAUAACGAUACGGACAUAAGAGAGAAAAAAAUAAAUUACAUGUAUGUGAAAUUUGCAGACAGAAAGAACAUAAUAGAUAAAAAUGCCCUAGCUGAAAAAAAUAAGACUAUAUUAGAAAAAUGGAAAAGGAGAGAGAAAAAAAUCUCCCACCCACUUAAUAUUUUAACGUAUUUUUUUCUUCUAAUCUAUAAAAAUAAAACUAGAUUAGGAAUAUUAAAAAAAAAAGGUUAAAUAGGAUUUUUUCUUUUUCCCUAAGGAGGCUAGGCAAUAAUUCUCUCUUUAUGUCUCUCUCAAUGUUUCUUUCUCCCCCCUGAUUGGUGUGAUGUCAUUAUUGCGUGAACCGGGUGGAAAGGCCAGGGGGGCCCGGAAAGAGUGGAUUUUAGCAGGAGUUAUUACCUGCACCGGGUGUAUCUUAUUUUAUGCACCAUACUCCUAAAUACUCAUAUAAAGAUACAAUAACGGAGGCUUCAAAAUCAAACCUUGAUUCAUGUUAGGAUUUGGUUAGAUUUGUAGUUGAAUCCUAUUUAGAUAAGAAUUAAUAUUUAAAUCUGUUGGAGAUAAAUUAAGAUUUAAAUAUUAAUUAGAGGAUAAACCUAACUAGAUUAGGACUAAUAUUUAAAUCUAUUAGAGAUUGAUUAAGAUAGAUUUAGAUAUUAAUUGGAGUAGAAAUCCUAAAUAUAUUAGGAUUGGGGUACGUUUUAGUGGAGCCUUAUAAAUAGCUCUUUGUGGGUUUGCUUUUGAGGUGAGUACGGGAGAGAGAAAAAAGAGCUCUUGGGUGCCGUACUAGAGAGAGAAAAAGAGAGAGAGAGUUAUUCAAUGAGUUGAGUGCAUCUAGUGCACGGGUGCGCGUGGAUGAUUGUCUUCUUUGUGGGAUCAUAGAAGACGAGAGAAGGGUAGAAGAAAUUCAAAAAAGAGGGCUCGAGUUGUAGCUACUCUGUUGCAGAAGAGGAGUCAGGUGUAAUCUUCUCUUAUUUAAUGAAUCUUAUUUUACCUGCAUAUGUUUCUCUUUUAUGAUUGUAUCAGCUUUUGCUGAGGAGACGGGUUUAUGGUCAAAACCCGAUUUGACGUUUCCGUUGCGGAAUCCCAACAAUCGAUACCGGAUCCACAGCAGUCGGUAUUGGAGCGGAUUGCGGAUUCACGAGAUCCGGUACCGGGGCGAGUACCCGAUUCCCAACAAGUGGUAUCAGAGCCGAAGGUUACCGAUUUGCCGGAGAGAUCGACGGAGAUGGCCACGAAAUUCGAAAUCGAGAAGUUCGACGGCAAGAACAAUUUCGGAUUAUGGCAAAUUAAAGUACGAGCAAUCCUCGUACAGCAAGAGUUAGACGAGACGUUGAACGGGAAGGAGGCAAAGCCGGCGGAGGUCACGGAUGUGGCAUGGACGAAGAUGGAGCGGAAGGCGCUGAGUACGCUUCAUCUAUCAUUAGCAGAUGAGGUUCUUUACAAUGUAGCCGGCGAGACGACACCGGCGAAAUUGUGGAAGAAAUUGGAAGAUCUGUACAUGACCAAAUCCCUGACGAACAGAUUGUAUCUGAAGCAGCGACUGUUUACGUUGCGGAUGCAAGAAGCGGCGAGCCUACAUGAUCAUCUAAAUGAGUUCAACAAGGUGGUGGCCCAGUUGACCAGCAUCGGAGUCAAUCUGGAUGACGAAGACAAGGCGUUGAUCCUACUAUCUUCGCUGCCGACGGCAUAUGAGCAUCUGGUGACCACGUUGCUUUAUGGCAAGGAGUCCAUAAGCGUAGAGGCGGUCACAGCGGCGCUUCUUUCGAACAAGAUGCGGAAGAUGACUCAGGAGUCCGGCAUACAGAGCCGGGAUACAGCUUUGGUGGUGAGAACGAAGAAGGUGGCGACAACAUCAGCGACCGGAGAUCGACAGAAAAAGCCGCUAUCUGAGGUGGAGUGCUUUUACUAUCACAGGAAAGGGCAUAUAAAGUGCAACUGUCGAAAACUUCAGGAUGAUUUGAAGAAGUUAAAGCGACAGAAGGAGAAAACUGUCGUGAAUCAGGACGAGAUGGUAUCAGCGACGGCACAGACGGCAGAGUCGGAGAUGUUCGAUUCUGAUGUGCUAUAUGCGGCGACCGGAGGUGCGAAAAUUUCGGACGAUGUGUGGGUUCUCGAUUCGGCGUAUUCUUUUCACGUAUGCCCGGAGAAGGAGUCUUUUGCCACCUAUAAGGCGACCAAAGGUGGAAAGGCGCUGAUGGGGAACGGGACAGCGUGCAAAGUAUUGGGGGUCGGCAUGGUGAAAAUCCGAAUGCACGAUGGGGUUGUGAGGACGUUGACAGGUGUGCGGCACGUUCCUGGAUUGAAGCGGAAUUUGAUCUCGUUAGGCUCAUUGGACUCGAAGGGUUGCGAUAUUUCAGCUUCAGGUGGAGCUAUGAGGGUCCAAAAACGAGAUCGGAUCGUGUGCGAGGCGAACAAGCGUGGGAACUUAUACGUUCUGAACGGAAGCACAGUCAGAACGGGAGCGAAAACGGUUUGGGUUCCAAAAGUUCGCGGAUGUGCAGUUGCUCGAGAUGGAGCGACGGAUGCGGCGACAUCGAGCGGAGGAGACAAGCUCAAGGUGGAGUUUGCAUGGUGAGCUCGACGUAGCGGUUGAAAAUUACAAAUCAAACCAAGGUGGAGAAUGUUAGGAUUUGGUUAGAUUUGUAGUUGAAUCCUAUUUAGAUAAGAAUUAAUAUUUAAAUCUGUUGGAGAUAAAUUAAGAUUUAAAUAUUAAUUAGAGGAUAAACCUAACUAGAUUAGGAUUAAUAUUUAAAUCUAUUAGAGAUUGAUUAAGAUAGAUUUAGAUAUUAAUUGGAGUAGAAAUCCUAAAUAUAUUAGGAUUGGGGUACGUUUUAGUGGAGCCUUAUAAAUAGCUCUUUGUGGGUUUGCUUUUGAGGUGAGUACGGGAGAGAGAAAAAAGAGCUCUUGGGUGCCGUACCAGAGAGAGAAAAAGAGAGAGAGAAAGUUAUCCAAUGAGUUGAGUGCACCUAGUGCACGGGUGCGCGUGGAUGAUUGUCUUCUUUGUGGGAUCAUAGAAGACGAGAGAAGGGUAGAAGAGAUUCAAAAAAGAGGGCUCGAGUUGUAGCCACUCUGUUGCAGAAGAGGAGUCAGGUGUAAUCUUCUCUUAUUUAAUGAAUCUUAUUUUACCUGCAUAUGUUUCUCUUUUAUGAUUGUAUCAGCUUUUGCUGAGGAGACGGGUUUAUGGUAAAAACCCGAUUUGACGUUUCCGUUGCGGAAUCCCAACAAUCGAUACCGGAUCCACAGCAGUCGGUAUCGGAGCGGGUUGCGGAUUCACGAGAUCCGGUACCGGGGCGAGUACCGGAUUCCCAACAGAUUCAUUAGAUAUAAUUUUUGGAUAUUAUUUUUUUAGUUACUCGAUUAAUUUCUUUUUCUACACCAUUUAUUUUUGACAAUAUUUGAUGCUUUAGUAAUAUAUUUUUAAGUGUAACAAUUUUUAUGUUUAGGCUCUUUACAUUACGCUUUGAUUAGAUUGGACUUUUCAUUUUGAAGUGUAUGGAUACACCGGGUGUAGACAAUAUGUUUCCGUGCAUUUUGACCUUUUCUCUCUCCUACGCAUUUGUUCGAGAAGUAUUAUUGCGUGGGCCAGGAAUUAGAGCGGGGAGGAGUGCUACCACUACUAUCCUUUUUGGUUGUAAUUCUAUAACCUGUUGUAUCUAAACCUUAAUUCCCUUCCAUUUUCUACUUGUUUUGUUAAUUCCUUUAAACUAAAAUUCCCAAGUUUUUGGUAAACCCUGCAUUCCUUGGAUUAAGAGCUGCAGAGAUUACAAUUUUUUUGAGUUGUAGACUUAUGAUUUCUCAUGGAGCGGGUUAUAAAAAUAGUAUUUUCGUUGGUCAGAUAUUGAAACAAAACAACAGAUAAAAACAAGUGAAAAAUGUACAAAACUCUCUGAAUUUUAAUACUUUUGUAAAUAGGCGUAUGAACUUUUAAUUUUGGUAACUACACCCUCUGAACCUUAUCUAAUAGUUCACUAGGUGCAUCUCGUCGAUCGGAGUCAUUAAUAUACAGCUAUUUGGUGUUGCAUAUUUUUUUAUGAAGCUUUAAAGCACAAAGUAAUCUUUCCUUCUACUCUAACCCAUGAAAAAGCAGUAAAAAUUAAAGUUUGAUUCAUUCCGUACUUUGAUCCUGUCGCUUAAUUAUCAUAACCAGAAUUAAGAAAGUUAUAUAUUUUGUUUUGAAGUUGUACAAAAUUAUGUUUAAGACAUGUGAUCAAAACAAUUAUUGAAUUAGUAAGAUGGCUUGAGCUUAGUAUACUAUUUGGUAUUGUGGGUCUAGUUUUCAGUAUUAAAAGUUUAUGCACUUGUUUGCAAUACAGUAAAAGGUUAGGACUAGAGUGCAAUAUCUGGAUUCCAUGCCUUUCAGCUCGAAACAAAGGAUGACUUGCUAAGCUGGGUCCAGAAAAUCAAUUUGGGCUUUUUCUUUUUUCCUUAUUUCUUGAGAAAAUUCUAUGCUGUUAAGAGUGUGAUACCAUACUGAUGCUUGUGGGGGGAACCCAAUCCACAAUCCAAUUCUAUUUAUUUUUGUUGCGUUGUUGCAUAUCCAUAAUGGACGGUUUAGGUUGAAUAGUGGAUGAUUCAUUGAAAUAGUCCUUGAACUAUCCCAAAAUUGCAAUUAUGCCUUGAUAUUUUCUAUUACUGUAAUUCCGUCCUCGAUUGCCCAAAACAAUUUGACAACACGCAGCUAUCUCCUAUAAAAUAUUCUUUUGAAAAUUUACAUUUUUUGAGAAAGUUCAGAAGUUAAAGUAUUUAAGUGAAAAGUUUAGGGUCUAAUUUGCAAUAUCGUAGCAGUGCAGGGACUCCCCAUACAUUAUACUCCUUUAUUAAAGAAUGAUUCUGAGAAGGGAUAGUUGGAUUUCAAUUGUGACAUCUGAGCUAGAUGUUAGUCUAAAAAUUAAUUCAAUAAUGAACUCUCACAUCAGUAACUUUGAUGCCUCAAUUACAUUUUGGAAUGCAUUCCGACUCAAGUAAAUAGAAAUAAAAUAGUACGUUCCUACAUGCUUUUACUUACUAAAUUUCAGCUGACUCGAUAUAUGUGGUUAGUGGGAUGAAGUUAUGUAGACAAUAUUUUUAGGACUUUCACUUUCUAAAUUUCAGUUGAUUUCCUGGAAUCCUACUAGAAACCACCAUUUAUCCUUUUUUGUUAUUUUUACCUUUUUUUUAUCAGUAAAAAGUUCCAUUUGCCAUACUCUUUCAAUCCACAAUCCACUCCUAAUUAAAUAUUACCUAACAUUAAAUUCUUUGUUUUUCUUUUAGUUUACUGCAUAUCAUGUCUUACCAAGUACGCUGCAUGCAGCUUACCAUAAGUUGCCUCGUGCUAUUAAUUUCCUGGAAGACAUACAAAUGUAAAGGAUCAGAUGACUUUUCGGGGAAAAGAGCUGCAAACCCACAUGAACUUGGCAAAAUUUGAGAUCACCACCUGAGCUUUUAAUUAUGACAUAAAACCACCUGAACCAUAUGAUUUUAUAGAAAAAUUCACGCCCAAAAGGGGUUGAAUGCAACAAAAAACAGAUUGUUAAGGUGGUUUCAUAUUAUCAAUCAGAUAACAACGAUCUGUCUAUGAACUAACAUCUGGGUCUAUAGCUUUUUUACCUUGAUUUCAAAAAUGACGUGAAUAAGAUAACAAGAGUCUAAUGUAACAUCUGGUAUUUUCUUGUCCGACUGAAACAGAACAUGUAUGAAAGCAAUCCAUCAUCAAAGUCCAAGGGCGCACUUUCAAUGGGUAUCCCCGGAGAGCUGGCUGGUCUCUAUGCUGCUUGGCUAGAGUACGGAAGGCUCCCGUGGAAAGACCUUUUCCAACCAGCCAUAAAACUUGCAAGCGAGGGAUUUGUUAUUAUACCUUACGUGGCAAAUGCCAUGAAAUCAAACGAGCAAGACAUAUUAUCCGACCCCGGUCUGCGUGAAGUAUUGGCACCAAAAGGAAAGCUACUGCAAGCCAAUGAUACUUGCUAUAAUCAUGCACUUGCUAACACACUGGAGGUGAUUUCCGUAGAGGGGCCGCAGGCAUUUUACAAUGGAACUAUUGGUGAGAAGUUCAUAGAGGAUGUGAAAAGUGCUGGUGGGAUCGCAACAAUGGAUGAUUUGAGGAAUUACAGGGUGGAAGUUAAGGACGCAUUGGUGGCAAAUGUUAUGGGGUAUACAAUACUUGGGAUGCCACCACCAUCCAGUGGAACCGUGGGAAUGUCUCUAGUGAGUUCUCUUUGCCUGUUUGUACCAACUGAUUGUGUUUUAUUCUGAUGUAUAUGUAGUGUUCAUGUUAGAUUGCUUUUGCUGUACUGUCUUUGUUUUAAGUGCCCAUGUGGGCCAACUGUGACAGCUCCUCUAUUUGAGAGGUAAAUGCUAGGUGUUUGGAAAAUAAAAAUUAUGGAGCUCUCGGCUGACAGGAAGCUGGAUGAGCUUCUUGUCCUUGAAUGAGAAGCUCCAAUCUGAAAUCGCAGGAAGUUGUUGUGGGAAUUGGGGGAAAAAAUUGGCCUUUUUAUCCAAGUCUGUGCAAUCAGCAUGCAAACAAAACCUCUGCCAGUCAAGCAGGUCCUAAGAUGUACUACAUAGCUAAUAUAUGGUAGUAUGCAAUUAUUAUAUGCUUGGAUUUGUUAAAAUAUGCCAGAUUAUCUUUCCUCAGUAUUUCUUCUAUUAGCUUUUAACCAGAACAUUUUUGGUGUGAUGUUUAGGUUCUGAACAUUUUAGGUAGCUACAAGUCACCGGAUGCUGUUAAAGGAUUCCUUGGCAUUCAUCGGCUCAUUGAAGCAACGAAGCACAUGUUUGCUCUUCGAAUGGAUCUUGGCGACCCCGAUUUUGUCAACAUAACAGAAGUCGUGUCCAACAUGCUUUCACCUUCCUUUGCUGAGAAAAUUAAGCAAAAGAUACUUGACAACACCACAUUUAGCCCAGACUACUACCUACCAAAGUGAGUUUGCUAUCUGACUUUCUCUUAGUUCAUAUAUCUUCUGCAUUAGUAAAUGCCAUCUUGCAUAAACAUCCACUUCUUUUUUUUUUAUUUUGCAAUCUGAGCCCAAUUUUUCUUUCCUUUUAUACAAUGUUGGACUGAAGUAUCUUUCUAUGAACUGGGAUACUCUUGGCUGGAAUCCUUAGUGCAUGGAUUUAUUGCAAUGUUGGCGGAGGGUAUUCUAGUCUAUGAAAAGAGAUUUUGGCUCAAAGUUGCAAAAUGCCAAAAAAGUGUGCUGAAAUUGAAUAAUCAGAAAAGAAGUGGACUCUUUUUGUAAAACAUUUAAUGAAUACUUCCACUAGAAAACUGUAGAAUUUCAAGCUAGCCUACACAAACAGGCAAAGAGAUGGAAUUAUUCUUGUGUUCCGUUCUAAACUUAUGGAUUGGAAUGUACUACUUUGUAAUUGUGACCAACAAGGUGAGGGACAAUUUGGAGAGGUCUUUCAUGUGCUUCAUUUUUUCAAUACUUCCUCUUGGCUGUGAGAUCUUAAACAAGCCCAUGAUGCGGACUUUGAAUUGCAGCUGGUGGUUUUUAUUUUCCUGAAGUAAUACUGUAGUAGUGAAUGGACUAGUGAGACUUGAAGCUUGGACCUCCUAUUCUGGUGCCACGUUACUUGACUGGAUUCACUAGAAGUUUAAGCCAUCGUCCCUUAGAGUAUGACUUUGUUUGAUACAGUUUUGAUCCAAUACAUACCUCUUCAAAAAAGUUGCUGCAAUUCACUAUAACAUUUCUCAAUUCUCCCCACAUUCACACCUUAGGUACCACUGUCUAAGACUUUCUUACAUCUUUCAGGCCAAUAUCACGAUCAUCUUUAUUAUACGUAAAUAAAUUAAUUAUACACUCAAUUCUACUGUUUUUCUCACUGGAAAUUGUUCCUCAGAUGGAGUCAGUUAAGAGACCAUGGAACCAGCCACCUUUGUGUUGUGGAUGCCGAUCGUAAUGCUGUGUCUAUGACGACUACCGUUAAUGCGUAUUUUGGGGCUAAAGUGCUCUCCCCAUCAACAGGUAUUGUGCUAAACAAUGAGAUGGACGACUUCUCUACACCAUCCGAUGCAACUCCCGAUCAUCUCCCACCAGCUCCUUCGAACUUCAUUGAGCCGAAUAAAAGGCCUUUGUCUUCCAUGACACCUAUUAUUGUACUCAAGGUAGUGCCAACCUCUCACUCCCUCUCUUUCUCUCUCCCUCCUUGAAGUCUGUUUCCUUGAGUUGGGUUUAGCUAGAUUGCCCCAGAAUAGCAUUCUGAAACCUUUUCAUGCCCCUCAUUGUUUGUUUAAAGGCCAAUAUUACAGUCUAUAAAAUUUUCAAUCAUAGGGAUUACUUUUUGGGCACAUAGCUUCAUAACAAUCAAUUAUAUAGAACUUCCUGCAUCAUUUUUUUUCUGGGUUGAACCAACUUCUGUUCUGUUACAAUUCUGUUUAAAAACUUUUCAGGAGGGAUGUAACAAAAUUUUGCAUUACUUGCAACAACUGAAUUUAUUCAUAGAGAGAUGACACUUAACCACUGUAAAUUUCCUCUCUUGUGGACCAUAAAAUUGCAACUAAAUUAUUAGGCCUCAAAACAUCUUCUGUCUGUAGAAUGAACUUAAAAAUUCAGUAACCAUUAAGUGCAGCUGUAUGGAACAAAAUAUACUCUUUCCAGUUCAACUACUGCCGAAUUCUCUCUUUGUUUGAUAUUUGGUCAUGAACUUAGUUACAUCCGUCCUGAUACUAGCAUGAUGUUCGUGAUGAUUAGAAUUAUAACAAUAUCUAAAAUAUUCAAUUGAUAUAGAUAUUCUUGAUUAUUUUUUACAGGACAAUCAACUUGCUGGAGUUGUUGGGGCUAGUGGAGGGUUAAAAAUUAUUUCAGCGGUUACUGAAGUUUUUCUUAAUCAUUUCAUUUUGGGAAUGGAACCCCUUGCUGCUGUUCAACGGCCUAGGAUUUACCCCCAGGUAACAUUUGUUGAUAUCCUUGUGUUUUUGUGAGUUAUUAGUUUCCUUAAAGCAGUUCUUUAUAGCUAAUUCACUUUAAAGCGAUUAUUUCGCCAAAGAAUAUUUUCUUUUGCUAUGCUAACUUGCCUUUUCUGAUGAAAGAACAUUGCAAAACCAAGAAAAUUUAGCAGCAGGUCAAAUUAUGUUUCUGUUGGCCAACUUCUGGUUUCUUGAACGUGAACUUAGUAGUAAUUGAAGCUAAAUACUGCUAGUUUAUUAAAAUUAACAACAGCCAGAAGGAAAUCAGGAUACAACAUUAAAAUGUACGGUUCAUCUAUAGAUCGAGCCAAUGCUACAGAAUUAGAUGAAAUAAUUGGACAAAUUCCGAGAUUUCUUUUUGCCAAGGUAAAUUUGGGUCUGAACCAGGUCCAAAUAUGGCUUCGUUACUUCUAGUGGAACAUAGUUCAUUAUCUCGUGGACGGCAGACAAAUUGCUUUGCACGUAGUACCUGUUCAGCUUGGAAUCUAGAAUAGCCUCUUUAUUUUCUGGAGGAGCAGAAGCUUCCAAGAACCAAGCAUGUGGCUAACUAAAGGCCCGGAGCUUUUGCUGUGUUGGGAAGUUAAAUUGUGCUUUUGGUGCCUGGAAACCAGAAGCUCCAACUUGAAGCUUCUCGCUCUUCUGUAACAAGAAAUUGUUGAGCAGACUGGAUUGAGGAAAACCAUUACUUAUAAUCGAGUAACUUUAUCAUUCGUAAUGGAGGAACUUAUGACUACUAAUACCUACCUUUCCCUACUAAUAUACAGUUAAUACCAAAUGAAGUGUUCUAUGAGAACUGGACCACUGUAGAUGGCGAAUCAAUCCGGUUCAGUGAAGACGCAAAGUUAUUUCUGGAGCAGAGGGGUCACAGCCUUCAGAGCGUAUCGGGCGGGGCUGUGUGCCAGCUCGUUGUGCAUAACUUAGGAGAACCUGUAAGACUGCAGUCCGACAACAGUGCCGUCUUUCACGGGAUGCUCACCGCAGUCAGCGACCCUAGGAAAGAAGGAAGCCCUGCUGGAUUGUAAAAUCUGGCAUAAAGCACAUGUAGAUAUCUAUCUACAAAAUACCCUCUAGAAAAUAUCAUGAUUUGCACUUUGCCCUCCUGAGAAUGGAAACCUACAUCCAACAACAACCACUCGCCCUUUCCUUCAUAUUUUUGGUUCAGAAACAGUUGGAGAAUACGAAAAUUUUUAUAGAAAUUGUAACAGGGUGUGUAUUUUGAUCAUAUUUCAAUAUCUAUGAACAUUUCUGAAUGAAAAAUGCGAUGCGGAGAAGGAAGGGCCAGCUAGUGCUAAUGGGCUUAUUAUAUUAGGAGGGCAACAUGCAAAUCACCAUAUUUUUCAUGGGAGGGGACUCUGCAUGCAUAUUACUUGGGAACCUAUUUCCCUCAGAAAUUUGAUUCAGUUGGGUAAACUUUGAUGUCCAAGAGAUUAUGCUUGCUAGGGAGAGAAAUACGCAACACUCCCUGUUUCUCCAAAUUUUAUUGGGCUGUGCAUUGUUUUGUAAAUACAUUCAUAUUUAUGUAGAUAGCACGAGAUAAAAGGGCCAGAUAUUUUAUUUGCAUAAGAAUAAGGACUUUAGUUCCACUUUUUAUACCAUGUAUUCGUGUCGUUUGUACUUGUUUGCAUGAAAGACAUAAUAAUGUAUUCGUGUCAUUUGUAUCUGAGAUGUUUCAUUCUGGCUUCUAACAUUUCAUUUGUUUCAUUAUAUGUCCUGAACUUUUCUAAUUGUUCCAAUUUGGUCUUAUAGUUUCUGUUGGUUGGUUAUCUGUGUGAGACACGUGAUGACUCAAGUUGCUAGUACUAGCGACCUGUUGCACCCACACCGUCAGCUCAAAAUGUGUAAAAUUUCAAAUUCCAAAUUAUUAAUACUGAUGUGUUAGUUACAUAUAAAGAUUUUACACUCUUUACACAUUAUCCGUAAUUCAAUGUGCACGCGGUCUAAGACUUGGUUUAUACUUUCGUUACUUCGUUGGCUACCUAUCUCUGAUACCAAAUACAACUAUCCAACUAGCAGCUUGGAAGGUUCAAAAUUUUUGGUACGAAAAUGCUUUAAGUUCAAGUUACACAAACUAAUAUGCUAGUGAAAUACAAGACAUUUACGUUUCCUCACAUUUUUCUUUAUUAUUUGAUGUAAAGCUUAGAUAUCUUCGCCCAGUGUAAGCUUACAUUUUGUGCACGUAUGAACAAAUUUGUUACGAUCUGUUGGAAUUGUUUCAAUCAGACUCAUUUUACAUUGUAAGUCAUUUAUAUAAAGAUUAAAUUAUAAAUUUUAGGACCUUGUUUACCAAAUAUUAGGUGCAGUGCAGGUAAUAAUUUCUCUAUCUCUAUCUCUAUCUCUCCUUUGCGAGGGAUAAUUUCUCUUGGCUAGGGAUAUAUUAAAUAAUGGAACCAAAUUGAAAUAAUUUGGAGAGUCUACACUCCCAUAAUAAUAUAACAAAUUGAAGUUUAGGUACUAAACCGGUUUGAAUCUUUGUAGAAAAUAAAACCUGACUAGGUAAACUCUAGCAAACUCAACCUGACUCAAUCCAAUGUGAGAAAAUCCGUCUUAAAUUCGACUCGAUCCAUCCAAGGUGGGUUGGAUUUUGUAACCCGACCCAACUUCCAAUCGAUAAAAAUUAGCUUCCAAUCGAUAAAAAUCUAAUUGGAAGGUAUUUUCGUAGGGUAUUAGAAGUUUGGAGGGAUAGAUAAGUCAUUUAAAUUUCGGACAAAUAUAUAAGCUAUUUUUAAACUUUAGAAGGAUACAUUGGUAUUUAACCCUAAUAAAUUUUAAUAGCGGUUCAAGUAACUAAUAGUCAAUUGGGAUUGUCAUUUUUUCAGUAGCUAGGUUAACUACCAUUAUUCAAUUUUCCUAACAAAAAAUUAAUUAAAUUUGACCACUAAUACCACUAAUGUCUUACUCAAUAUAUAUAUAUAUAUAUAUAUAUAUAUAUAUAUAUAUAUAUAUAUAUAUAUAUAUAUAUAUAUAUGGUUCGGUUACUAUACUUUUAUGAGUAUUGGCCCCUUAUACUCAUAAGUUUUCAGCCCUUAGAUUUAUUUUCAUUGAUCUUUUCACCCCCGUUAGAUCAUACUAUUCACUAACUAACCCACUCAAUCAUAAGGGGAUCACUAUCAUUCUAAGUAGGAUCACAUCAUCCUAACGCCACAUCAUCAAUCAACGUUAAAAUUUAUAAGUACAAGGGUGUCUAUAUCAUAAGAUAUAGUACCCCACUAUAUAUAUAUAUAUAUAUAUUAUAUAGUAUAUAUAUAGAUGAGAGAGAGAGAGAGAGAGAGAGAGAGAGAGAGAGAAAGAGAGAGAGUUGGGCUGGGAUGCUAUUGAGCACCCAGCCAACUUUGCCAUCCAUUUUAUAGCCCUUGGAUCGCAUCGAGAUCCAUGCAGCCUUUACUCAAAAAUUUGGAAGAAGCUCCGUUUAUGUCCCUCCGUUAUCUCUCUCUCUCUCUCUCUCUCUCUCUCUCUUCUUUUCCUUUUCCAUUUCUUUUCUUCUCCACAGAGUUCACCUCCCAUCCCACCUACCACCAGACCUUCCCUCCUCCACACCGCGCCCACCUCGCCCACUUGCUCGCCUGCAGGCUCGCUCGCCCGCUAGCUCGCUUGCCCGCUUGCUCUCUUACUCUUUCUCUUUCUUUUUUUCUUUUUUCCUUUUCCUUUCUUCUCCACCUCACACCCCGCCUAGCACAGCCAACUUUGCCACCCAUUUUAUAGCCCUUGGAUCGCAUCGAGAUCCGUGCAGCCUUUUACUCAAAAAUUUGGAAGAAGCUCCGUUUGUGUCCCUCCGUUAUCCUCUCUCUCUCUCUCUCUCUUUCUUCUUUUCCUUUUCCAUUUCCUUUCUUCUCCCCAGAGCUCACCUCCUAUCCCACCUACCACCAGACCUUCCCUCCUCCACACCGCGCCCACCUCGCCCACUCGCUCGCCUGCUUGCUCGCUCGCUUGCUUGCCCGCUUGCUCUCUCACUCUCUCUCUUUCUUCUUUUCUUUUUUUCUUUUCCUUUCUNCUGUUCCAUCUGCAAUUAAACUUGAAGUAUAUUGUUCACACUGACUCUGUUUACUCGUUAAAGAAUCCAACUCUCUACUUUCAACAAACAUUGUAUCAACCAAUGGAGACAUUGGUUCUUUAUCAAUACUUUCAUUGUCCGAGCUUUUAAAAGUUGGUGAACCAUGAUAAUCCCCACUAUCCAUCUAUAUAAUUUAACAAAUUUUAAAUUAAUAAAAAAGCUAUUAAUCAUGCAAUUCACACAUUAGGGUUAAAAAAAGCAACAUUAAAUACUAGUACUAGUCAACAGAUCAAACAGAUCAAACCUACUAGUGCUAGUCAACAGAUCAAACAUAUCAAAUAGAUUAAACCUACUAGUGCUAGUCAACAGAUCAAACAGAUCAACAUUUGUCAUAUAGUUCCGUUUUUCAAAAAUAUUGUUCUGUUUUUCAAAAAUAUGAUUUUAUUCGAAAAUCUGAUUUUAUUAAAAAAAAAAUUGUUGAUUGGUUUAUUCAAAAAAAUGUUGUUCCAUAGCCCUAUAUGACAAAUGUUGAUCUGUUUGAUCUGUUGACUAGCACUAGUAGGUUUAAUCUAUUUGAUAUGUUUGAUCUGUUGACUAGCACUAGUAGGUUUGAUCUGUUUGAUCUGUUGACUAGUACUAGUAUUUAAUGUUGCUUUUUUUAACCCUAAUGUGUGAAUUGCAUGAUUAAUAGCUUUUUUAUUAAUUUAAAAUUUGUUAAAUUAUAUAGAUGGAUAGUGGGGAUUAUCAUGGUUCACCAACUUUUAAAAGCUCGGACAAUGAAAGUAUUGAUAAAGAACCAAUGUCUCCAUUGGUUGAUACAAUGUUUGUUGAAAGUAGAGAGUUGGAUUCUUUAACGAGUAAACAGAGUCAGUGUGAACAAUAUACUUCAAGUUUAAUUGCAGAUGGAACAGAAUCAUCAAUUGAUAAGCCGUUCAUAGGGAGAGAAUUUAAGAAUGAAGAAGUUUUGAAAUUUUAUAAUAUAUAUGCAUAUAAAGCCGGUUUUAGUAUAAGAAAAAAAACACACUACAAAGCUAGGAAGAAAGAUAACAUGAUUACGUCAUUGCACUAUGUUUGUUCAAAAGAAGGUCAUUUCUAACCUCGGGUCAAGGACAAGACAAUAAAGGCACACCUAAAAGACAGAUGCAGUAUAGUCGAACUGGUUGUAAGGCACACUUAAGAGUGAAAUUGAUAGAGGAUGGAAAAUGGAUCGUGGCUGCAUUUGUGAGAGGCCACAAUCAUGAUUUAGUUGUAAGUCCAUCAAAAGCUCGUUUCCUUCGAUCUCACCGUUCAAUCACAAAGGACCAAAAGGAUAUAAUUCAUAUGUUAAGUGAAUAUUUUGACUGCUCAAAUUAUGUCUUUUAUGGCGGCAAAAGAAGGAGGAUCACAUAAUAUUCACUUCACAAGAAAAGAUCUAAAUAAUAAAGUUCUGAGAGGAAUAGACGGCUCAAAGGAGUGGACAUAUCAACUACUAUUAAUUACUUUCGCGAGCGUCAAGUCAAAGAUCCAUCUUUUUUUUUAUGCAAUAUUAGUUCAAUAGAGUCCUGUACAUCAUCUAGUGGAGUUAAAUCCUACACAAUUCGUGUGGAUAGACUUAAAGAGAAUGUGAGUCGUAGUUGCAAGUUCUUUGAAUUCAGUGGCUUGUUAUGUUCUCAUGUAUUAAAAGUCAUGUUUCACAUUCAAAUGUAUCAUAUUCCAGACCAGUAUAUUAUGAAAAGGUGGACUAAAAAUGCGAAAAGAGGAUUCUCGAGCACAAAUUUAGGAUGUAGGGUAGUUGGUGAACUUUCACAUUCGAAAGAUGCAAGAUUUAAUGCACUACUUUUGAAAAUGCAAAAAAUUCCAUAAAUAGCCUCGCAAAAUUUUGAGGCAUUUGAAAUGGCUUGUGAAGACAUAGAUAAGCUUGUUGACAAGAUUAUUACACACAAUGAAGCUUUAAAAGAGAAAGAAGGAGAUAAAAUUUUAUUCCUAAGAACUUCAUAUACCCUAAAUCAUAUUUAACGGUGUGGAUCGUUAAUUUGAACACCCUAAGAUUGAAAAUAAGACUAUAGUACCGGAGCUCCGGUACUAUAGAUAGUAUAGUAGCCUAAUUCUAUAUAUAUAUAUAUAUAUAUAUAUAAUACAAAGAGAGGGAGAGAGAGAGAGGGGGAGAGAGAGAGAGAGAGAGAGAGAGCAGGGCUGCUGUGCUAUCAGGAGCACGGAGGCCUCUGUGCUCCUGAGCCAUUUUCAAUGAUAGAAUUUUCGAAUCGACUAUCGGCUCCGUCAGACUUGAUUUAACGUAUUUGAAGUUUCUAGAAAAUAAUUUUUGCGAUUUUUUGAUAUCAUUACCUAGUGAUCGGAAGGAUUCAAAAUCUAUUAUUUUUAAUGGUUGAUAUCUACUGUUUUCAAGUUUAACAGUGUAGAAGUAUUCAAAUCAAAUGAAAUUUUGAUAUAAAAUUCUUUAUACUAUCUACAACAAGAUUAAUAUUUCUGAUUGAAAAUUUUAGUGCUAUAUCACCACUUUUUAUAGAAUUUUUAUUUUCAGCCGUUAAAAAUUAUUGAUUUUGAAUCUUUUCGAUUGCUAGGUAAAUGAUAUCGAAAAAUUGCAAAAAUUAUUUUCUAGAAACUUCAAAUACGCUAGAUCAAGUCUAGCAGAGCCAAUCGUCAAUUCGGAAAUUCCAUCAUCGAAAACGGCUCAGGAGCACGGAGGCCUCCGUGCUCCUGAGAGCACAACAGUUCUGCUCUAUACACACACACACACACACACACACACACACACACACACACACAAAACUAUUAAUUUCCGUGGCUUUUAUCCGAUGUGGUAAAGUUUUGUUAAAUUUGAGCCCACCUAGCUACCAGUGUUAUUAUCACCUCCUCCAUCCUUUUUAUUGAAUAUUAGGCCCACCUCCACCAUAUACUUUCUCUCCUGUAUCCGAUUUAUCUCCCAUUGUCGUCUCUUCACCUUCCCAUUUACCUUCUUAUUUAUUAGACUAAACUUUCAUCUUCCAUUUAUCUUUCAAUUUAAUUAAAUAAUCUCCUCACCUUCCCAUGUAAUAGAAUAAUAGCAUUUAUCUUUCCAUUUAAUAGAGUAAUCUCCUCACUUUUUCAUUUAAUAGAGUAAUAGUGGAGAAAACGAGAAUGCAUGCCAUGCCUUUCAUUAGGCAUCUUUCUAAUUUACCUUCUUCUUUCUCAAAGUCUAAAAUGUGUACCAUUUGCUCUCCUAAUGCCGUGGGCAUAAUUGAUGGAGCCCUUCGACCCCCCUACAUUACAUUAUACAUGUCGUCGAUAAGGCCGGUGAUGGCAUCAAUGUUGUUGACUUUCACCCCUCUCCAAAUCUCUCUCUCUCUCUCUCUCUCUCUCUCUCUCUCUCUCUCUCUCUCUCUCUCUCUAUAUAUAUAUAUAUAUAUAUAAAAUUGAGCUAGAAUACUUUUAGAAUUAUCACCCCUUUGGUGCUAUUAGGUUUUUAGCCCUUGGAUCUACUCCUUGAUUACUAAUAGCCCUUGGAUCAAACAUUAUUCCACCUACCACCACCUACCACCAUCAUCUCAACCUUACAUUCAUCCAUCCAAUGGCUAAAAACUCAAAAGCACCACCUUCAUGGUGCUUUUGAGAGUAUUCUAGCUCAACUAUAUAUAUAUAUAUAUAUGUAUAUAUAUAUAUAUAUAGAGAGAGAGAGAGAGAGAGAGAGAGAGAGAGAGAGAGAGAGAGUUGAGCUGGAAUACUAUCGGUAGCAAAUGUGCUCCGUUGCCAUCCAUUUGUUUUCGAUGAUGGAGCCUCCAAAUCGACGAUCGGCAGCAUUGAAUAUGAUCUAUACCACUAGAAGUAUCUAGAAAUCAAAUUUUAUGAUUUUUCGAUAUUGUUCUCUUGUCCAUCAAGUGGACGUAAAAAUGAAUGGCUGAAAAUGAGUAUCCUCUAAAAAGUGAUGAUAGAAAUUUUAUAAUCAAGAUCGAGAGUAUAGAUCUUGUUCUAAAUAGUUUAGAGAAUUUUCUAACCAAAAUUCAAUUGAUUUAGAUAGCUUUACACCGUUAAACGAGAAAAUACCUCAUAUCUACCAUUAAAAUUACAAAUUUUGAAAUCCUUUGAUCAUUAGGUCAAUGAUGUCGAAAAAAUUUAAAAUUUGGUUUCUAGAUAGUUCAAAUGGUAUAGAUCAUAUUCAACGGUGCCGAUCGUCGAUUUACAGGCUCCAUCAUCGAAAACAAAUGGGUGGCAAUGGAGUCCGUUUGCUACUGAUAGCAUUCCAGCUCAACUCUUUCUCUCUCUCUCUCUCUCUAUAUAUAUAUAUAUAUAUAUAGAGUAGGGCUGCUAUACUAUUAUGAGUAUUGGGCCCUUCGUACUCAUAAGUUGUUUUCGAUGAUGGAGCUUCUGAAUCGACGAUCCACUUCGUUAAAUAUGAUUUAGAGUAUUUGAAACUUCAGAAAAUAAAUUUCGUAAUUUUUCAAAAUCAUAAUAAAGUCCAUCAAGUGGGUAUAAAAUGAACGGUCAAAAUCGAACGAUGUCUUAAAAAUGGAUGAUCGGAUCCUUCAAUUUAAGAUCGGAGUUAUUGAUCUUUAUCUAGGUAGUGAAUAGAGUUUUCUAUCAAAAAUUCAACCUAUUCGGAUUCUUUUGCACCGUUAAACUAGCAAGUAUUCCAUACCGGCCGUUAAAAAUUGUCAAUUUUGUGACCUUUUGAUCGUAAGGUAAAUGAUGUCGAAAAAUUAUGAAAUUUGAUUUCUAGAUGUUUCAAAUGCUCUAGAUAAUGUUUAAAAGUGUGAAUCGUCGAUUUGGAAGCUCUAUCAUCGAAAACAACUUAUGCGUACAAAGGUAAUCGUACUCAUAAUAGUAUAGUAGCCGGACUAUAUAUAUAUAUAGAGCUAGGCUCCUAUGCUUUUGAAAGUACGGAAGCCUCCGUACUUGUGAGUUGUUUUCAAUAGUGGGACAUCCGAUUCGGCGAUCGGUUCCAUUAGACAUGAUCUACGCUAUUGGAGCUACCUAGAAACCAAAUUUCAUAAUUUUUUGACUUCUUUUGUAUAGUAAACGAGUAGCCUCAAAAUGAACGGCUGAAAAUGAAAAUCUCAUAAAAAAUAAUGAUAAAGGACUCACAUUUCAUAUUGGAAGUAUUGGUAUUGCUAUUGAUGUUAAGUAGAAUUUUCUAUUAAAUUUUCAUUUAAUUUGGAUACUUCUACACUGUUGAACUUAAAAACGUGCCACAUCGGCCGUUAAAAUAGUCAUUUUUGAGACCUUUUGAUCGCCUGGUAAAUGAUGUCAAAAAAAUAUAAAAUUUGGUUUCUAAAUAGUUCCAAUAGAGUAGAUUCGAAAGUAUAGGAGACUUACUCUAUAGAUAUAUAUAUAUAUAUAUAUAGAAUUAGACUACUAUACUAUCUAUAGUACCGGAGCUCCGGUACUAUAAUCUUGUUUUCGAUCUUAGGAUGUUCAAAUUAACGAUCCACAACAUUAAAAAUGAUCUAGGGUAUAUAAAGUUCGUAGGAAUAAAAUUUUACUUUUUUUCGACAUCGUUUACUUAGUAAAUGAAUUAUGUCAAAAUGGGCGGGGGAAAUUGAAUAAUUUUUAAAAUUUGAGCAUAGAACUUUUAAAUUUAAGAUAAAAAAUGUUAAUCUUAAUCUAGAUAGUUUAAAGUAUUUUCUUUCAAAAUUUGAAGAAAUUUAGAUUCUUCUACACCGUUAAACUCCAAAUUCGCCAUAGUAGCAAUUGAAAAUUGACAAUUUUGAAAUGGUUUGAUCAUAAAGUAAACUAUGUCGAAAAAAUAUAAAUUUUUUUUUUCUAAAAACUUUAAAUACCCUAGAUCAGUUUUAACGGUGUGGAUCAUUGAUUUGAAUACCCUAAAAUCGAAAACAGGACUAUAGUACCGGAGCCCCGGUACUAUAGAUAGUAUAGGGAGGACUAGGCUCAUAAUAUAUAAUAUAUAUAUAUAUAUAUAUAUAUAUAUAUAUAUAUAUAUAUAUAUAUAUAUAUAUAUAGUAUAUAUUAUUAUAUAGAGAGGAGAGAUGAGGAGACGGAGAGACGAGAGAGGAGAGAGGAGAGAGAGAGAGAGAGGAGAGAGAGAGAGGAGAGGAGAGAGGAGACUGUGUGCGUGAGGCUGGUAUGCUGGAAGCACGGAGCCUUCUGUACUUUCAAGUCGUUUUUCAUGUUGGGACUUUCGAAUCGACAAUCGACUCCGUUAAACUUAUCUAGAAUAUUGAAGUACUUAGAAAAUAAUUUUGUGAUUUUUCGAUAUCAUUUGCCUAGUGAUCGAAGGGGCUCAAAAUCAAUAAUUUUUAAUAACCGUGGUGAGCCGUUUGCAAGUUUAACGGUGUAGAAAUAUCCAAAUCACGUGAAAUUUUGGUAGAAAAUUCUUUAUACUAUAUAAAACAAGAUCAAUAAUUUGAUCUAAAUUUUAGUGUCAUAUCAUCAUAUUUUGUAAGAUUUUUUAUUUUCAGCCGUUGACUUUGAGCCACUCAAUCACUAGGCAAAUGAUAUAAAAAUCGCAAAAAGAAAAAAUUUAUUUUCUGGAUACUUAAAAUACUCUAGAUCAAGUCCAACGGAGCUGAUCAUCGAUUCGAAAGUCCCAACAUCGAAAUGACUUGGAAGCACGGAGUGCUCCGUGCUUCCAGAAGCAUACCAGACGCACCUAAGAUAUAUAUAUAUAUAUAUAGAGUGAGGCUACUAUGCUGCAGAAGCACGGAGCCUUCCGUGCUUCCAGCUCAUUUUCGAUGUUGCGACUUUCGAAUCGUCGAUCGGCUCCGCUAAACUUGAUAUAGAAUAUUUGGAGUACCUAGAAAAUAAAUUUUAUUUAUUUUUCGAUAUCAUUUGCCUAGUGAUCGAAUGGGCUCAAAAUCAACAAAUUUCAAUGGCCGUUAGUGAGCCGUUUGCAGGUUUUAAUGGUGUAGAAAUAUCAAAUUACGUUGAAAUUUUGAUAAAAUUUUUUUUAUACUAUAUUAAAACAGAUCAAUAUUUUUGGAUUUAAAAUUUUAAUGUCAUAUUAUUACAUUUUGUAAGAUUUUUAUUUUCAGCGUUGAUUUUGGAGCCCCUUUGUUCACUAGGCAAAUGAUAUCGUAAAAUUAUAAAAUUUAUUUUCUAGGUACUUCAAAUACUCUAGAUCAAGUUUAACGGAGCCGAUCGACGAUUCGAAAGUCACAACAUCGAAAACGAGCUGUGAAGCACGGAAGGCUCCGUGCUUCCGAUAGCAUAGUAGCCUCACUAUAUAUAUAUAUAUAUAUAUAUAUAUAUAUAUAUAUAUAUAUAUAUAUAGAGUGUGGGCUGGUUAUGCUUAUAGAAGCACGGAGCCCUCAGUGCUUCCAAGUUGUUUUCGAUGUUCAGACUUUCGAAUUGACGAUCGGCUCUGUUAGAGUUGAUCUAGAGUAUUUGAAGUACCUAGAAAAUAAAUUUUGUGAUUUUUGUUGAUAUCAUUUGCCUAGUGAUCGAAGGGGCUCAAAAUCAAUAAUUUUAAUGGCGUGGUGAGCCGGUUGCAAGUUUAACGGUAUAGAAAUAUCCAAAUCACAUGAAAUUUUGAAUAGAAAAUUCUUUAUACCAUAUAAAACAAGAUCAAUAACUUUGAUCUAAAAUUUUAAUGUCAUAUCAUCAUAUUUUGUAAGUUUUUUAUUUUCAGCCGUUGAUUUUGAGCCACUUCGAUCACUAGGCAAAUGAUAUCGAAAAAUUGCAAAAUUUAUUUUCUAGAUACUUCAAAUACUCUAGAUCAAGUCUAACGGAGCCGAUCGUCGAUUCGAAAGUCCGAACAUCAAAAACAAUAGUGGAAGCACGGAACCCUCCCUCCGUGCUUCCAUUAAGCAUUCCUAGCAACACUAUAUAUUAUAUAUAUAUAUAUAUAUAUAUCAUUAGUAGUACCUAUAUAUAUAUAUAUAUAUAUGAAUGGAGCUAGAAUACUUUUAGAAGCACCAAUCCCUUGGUGCUUCUAAAUUUCUAGCCAUUGGAUCUACUUCUUAAUUACUAAUAUCCUUUGGAUCAAACAUUAUUCCACCUACCAUCACCUACUAUCACCUACCAUCAUCAUCUCAACCCUACAUCUCUCCAUCCAAUGGUUAAAAACUCAAAAGCACUACCCUCUUGGUACUUUUGAGAGUAUUCUAGCUCAACUCUCUCUCUCUCUCUCUCUCUCUCUCUCCCUCUCCCUCUCCCUCUAUAUAUAUAUAUAUAUAUAUAGUACAAUAAAAGUUGUUGUUUAUAUAUUAUAUUCUUUAUGUGCGAAUCUUUUUAGUAAGGUAAUUAUAAAAGGCUAAAUUACAGAAAACCAUCCUGUCAAAACCUGAUUUUUUACUUUCCCCCCUGUCAUUUAAAAAUCUACACUUUGCCCCCUUAUAAAAUGAAAAAUAUUCAUUUCAUCCCCUACCGUUAGUGAUCCGUUAGAGUUCCGUUUAUAAAAUAUUAUUAUAUAUUUUUUUAUGCCAAAAAUGCCCUCAGUCUUCUCUCCUGUUAUCAAAAAUGGUGAGGGCAAAAUCGUCAUUUUGUCAUCAUAGUUUACACCGUACCCCUUGUGAAUAUUUUUCAUUUUACAUGGAGGCAAAGUGUAGAUUUUGAAAUGACAUGAGGGGGAAAGUGAAAAAUCAGGUUUUGACAAGAAGGUUUUAUGUAAUUUAGCCUUAUAAAACUUCUUUAAAUAAUUGUGGCUACGAUGUUUACUCUAUAUAUUGCAUCUUCCUCUUUUACUUUCUUGGCAUUCGUUGUUUUUUUCUAUUCAUAUUAUUUGUCAAUUUAAAUCAUGUAUAUUAAAAUUAUUUUUAUGUAUAAUUUUCUAUAUUAAUUAUUAUAGUCAAUAUUGAUUUGCUGAUAUUUUAUUCUUUAUUAAUAUUUUAUUAUUUAUUAAUUUUAAUUUUAAUAGUAUUUAUCGGCCGCAAAGCGCUGAUUAGUUCACUAAUAUAUAUAAUUCAGUGAUAAAAAUAAUGUUCGUUAACACCAAUGAUGUAUUUGCGCUCCCAUUUUAUUGUGCUAUGCAUUGCAAGCACCAUUACGCCUUCUCGUCAUUGGUCCACGUCACUCUUGCACGGAUCGCAAAUAAACCCCAAUCCUAUCCGUCCAUCUACCGAACCCAUCCAACGGCUGAUAUCCAUCGAUCCACAUAUCGGAACGAUCGGAUCCAUCCCCUCCACUCGUCUCCGUAUAAAACCCCCCCAAUUUCCCGCUCACAUCUCCUUUCGAAUCGCACGUUCCCACCGCGCGCCCUCUCACUUCCUCCCCUUCCCUCUCCCCAUUAAACCCCCCCUCCCCCCUCUUCGAUCACCUCCUAUCCCCCUUCGUUCCGAUCCGAGCGAGGGAGAUCGCAACGAUCGCCAUGGCUGACGACGAUGAUGACGUCGCCGCCAAGGGAAAGAAGCGCUCGGGCGGCGGAAAGGCGAAGAAGCGCUCCGGCGGCGGAAAGGCGAAGAAGGGCUCCGCCGGCGCCGGCGGCGAUGGAGGCGGCGGGGGGGCCAGGAAGAAGUCGGUGUCGCGCUCCGUCAAGGCCGGGCUCCAGUUCCCCGUCGGCCGCAUCGGCCGCUACCUCAAGAACGGCCGCUACGCCCAGCGCGUCGGCUCCGGCGCCCCCGUCUACCUCGCUGCCGUCCUCGAAUACCUCGCUGCCGAGGUAAACCCUAACCCUAACCCUAAUCCCGCUAAUCCGAUCUACGAUCUAGGGUUUCCCUACGAUUUUUUUUUUUCUGAGAUUUUUGGGGAUUUAGUUGCUGGAAUUGGCGGGGAAUGCGGCGAAGGACAACAAGAGGAACCGGAUCACACCUCGCCACGUGCUCCUCGCCAUUCGGAACGACGAGGAGUUCGCGAAGCUCCUCUCCGGCGUCACGAUCGCACACGGAGGCGUUCUCCCGAACCUCAACCCCGCUCUCCUCCCGAAGAAGAAGAAUGCUGCUGCCAAGGAAUCGAAUGCGCCGUCGGAGGUCCCAGUCGAGAAGUCGCCCAGCAAGGUGUAGAGGUGAGGGUUUCUCCUCCUCCUUCUUCUUCAAGUGUUUUGAUGUUGUUGUUUUGAGAUUGGGGAUGAUCCGUUUCUCGUACGUAGUGGAAGAGGGGAUGGGACGCGAUCUAAUAGGAACCUUUUCUCAUUCUUUUGCAUGAUAUAUUCUAUAUAGAUGAAGAAUUGUAUAGUUGUUAUAUACACUACCGUGACAACACAGUCCAUAGGUGACCUUGGGUGUUUGGGAAAAGGAAAAAAGAAAUUGAUGGGGAUGGUUGUUAAAAUGAGUCUGCUCUAUUCAUUUUUGGUAGAUGAAAUAUUUGUGUGUUACAAACUGUUCCCACUUCCGUGCUUCCAUUCGUUGCAUUGUCGGGUAGUUCGCGUGAAAAGUAAACAUUAUGUGGGGAUAUUUUUCCGGGUGACGUUAUACAGGGACAAUGGGUGACUAUGGCCCUUGUUGAGUUUCGAAAAUAAUACAUUAGUCAUUAGUUGCUAUAUGUAUAUGUUGGCUCAAAUUGUCUGGCAUCCCUUUGGAUUGAGUCACGUUCGAAACGGCGGAAAGUCUGAUUGGGUCGAGUCAUAUUCGAAGUGGCGUGAGGUUGGUUAGGCUCAAUCAUAAUCGAGAACUAUAGAACCGCCAGUUGCGUAUUUCUAACCGUCAGAGUAUUUCAAAUUAAUAGUUAGCGCCGACGGUCCGACAAUAUAUUAUAAAAUAAAAUAUAUUAUAAAUAAAAUUUUUUAUAGUUCAGUGUGGUUGUUAGUAUUUUUAGUUUACAGCAGGUAAGGUGAGUUCAACUUUUACCUCUAUAGUAGAUUUUUUUUCUUUUUUCUUGCUUCUGGCCUUCUGUGUUUUUUUUUUUUUUUUUCCUAUUUUUAAUAAGUUAAUUGAUAUAAAAGUGUUUUUCCAACAGAAAAAUAAUACAAAAAGUCAUUUAGAAGAUACUCAGAAACAAAGUGUUGCGAUAAAUUUUUAUUACGGUGGAAAGCUCACAUCAAGGUUUAAGCUUAUGAAAGCAAAAUCUCAAUUUUGAACUUUUUAACUUCUCGUUCCGUAGGAAGCCUUUAGACUCUUGUUUGUUUGUUUGUUUGUUGUUGCAGGCUAUAUAGGGCGCCGUGCAUUUUCAGCGCAUUUGAAAGGAAGCACAACAUUAAAAUUCUCCUUAAAAGUUUUAUUUCGCAGGAGAAACUUUAAACUGAAGCAUCUACUUUGUGGGGCUAAGUAAUCUCACAUUAUCUAAUAGAGGUGGCUGCACAAAAGAGAAAGUGGAAGGCCAAACAAAUAAGUAAAGACCAAAAAAGACUUGAAGUGUUUCUUCAAAUAUUCACCAACCAAAGAGCCAUAAGAAAACUAACAUAAGAGGAUACGUACGUACCAAUGGACAGAAGCUUGGAUAAUCAGCAUAGAACAAACACCAGAUUAUAAUGAUAGCUAGUAUUUAGUCGUCACCAAACAUAAGAACCAUAUUAUAUAGCGGGUAAUUUACUGUAGUUGUACUGGAGAACUACUUUAGCCUUUAGCCUUAUUUAAAAUUUCAAACUUUACUUUGCUGAUUUCACCAGAUUCUCACUGAAGUCCCAGAGUUUCUUUGCCAAGGUUUCUUCUCUGGCCAGCGCACUCGGCUUCUCCUCAUUGCAGUCUAAAAAGUAUUUUCCUGUGACCCCCUUGAGAGUAGGAUGAAGGGCUACAUAGCAUGUAGUAGCUGCUCCCUGUGAAAGAGUAAAAGCUUCGACUUGUUAGGAAACAACAGUUUGCAAAACCUACCUCAAAACAUGAUAGCAAAACUAAAUACUAUUAAAAGUUCAUCAGUUGUUUCUACAUGUAUUAAGAAGAUAGCAUUCCUCUGAAGGCAUUUAUUUCGCAUACAAUGCCAAUUCCUAAACAAGAAGAAGAUCCCUAAUCCUUUCUAUAUGUAUUAAAAAGUGAUGAAGCUACAUUAUCUUACUUAACUAAUGGGCCAAUAAUGUCAAAUUUAGCAUAAUUCAAUUUCGAACUAUCAAUAGAGAACCAGGCAAUGACCAUAAGCUUGUUGUGAGGUUAUUCGAAUACCGAGUCCUAUGUUUUCAAGAGGUAAUUCAAGCAAAGAUCCAAUGGAAGAAAUAACUGGUAAUAACUUCGUGUAUUUGAGAAUGUGCAGCAGACCUGCGGAACAUUCUUCCAAAAGAUGCAAGUGAAUACUUUGAGUAUCCCUGCAAAAUAGAACAUCUGAUUUUUUCGUACGAAUGAAACUUUUCAAUAGUUACAAACAAAGUUUACUGUAAAUGAAAUUUAAGAACAUACUCAUAAGAAGGAAAGAGUGCCGCAUCAGAUUUGUCAUGAUUAACCCUGGGUGAACAGAAUUUGCAGUAAUAUUUGCUCCUUCCUCCUGUUAGAGAAAUAUAAUAUUUUCUUACAAAGAAUUAAGAAAUAUGAUCAACCAACUAACGUAUUGAAUCACGAGAGUCAAUCCAACCAUUGCCUAUUUAAAAGAAAAAAAAACGAAACAAAAAGGAAAAAAAAAGUUAAUAAUUAAAAUAAGAGUAGCAGAAAAAAAAAAAUCAAUACCAAAUGAGAGUUAUUUAUCUUAAUCUAAUGUCAAAAGGUGUUUGAAGUGAUUACAAGCAUUGGAUUCUUACAAUGAGUGGAUCUAGAUUAUAGAUAAAAAGAAAAAAAAUUGUUUUGUAAAAAAAAAGAGAGAAAAAAUUCAUCGGAAAGUACAAGAGUGGUUCCUCUAACACAACUGCAAAAUUUCUAGAAAUUUGAUACGCAUAUUAUUGUUAAAACACCACGACUAAUUACAGUGAAUGUUUUGGACAACAUAUAAAUUCUUAGGGACGAGAAAAGCUGCACCUUCAAUCGUCUGGAGAGUUCAUUCGCAUGGAGUAUGUUUGCCAAUUUAGAUUGUCCAUAAGCCUUUUUGUCGGAGUAUCUAACAAAGAAACGAAAAGAAAAAAAUGUUAUCCUACAAUUCAUGAAUUUUGCUGAAACAAACAGCUAGCGGACAUUGUUAUAGGAAAUAAAACAUAACAUAAUACCCUCUCCUGUCGUUGAGCUUAUCGAACAGUAUUCCCUCUUCAUAUGUAUGAAGGUGAGCAAUAGACGAUAAAUUUACGAUUCGGCCCUCAAUACCAGUACUCCUCGAUGUUUCUUUCAUUUUCUCAAGGAGGAGGUUGGUCAAUGAAAAGUGACCUGAAUGCAUGUCAUUAGAAAAGCCACGCAAAUUUUAAGGAUCAAUAAGAGUUUACUUUGAUACAGAUACUGUGAUUAAAAAAAAAGAAUUAAAAAAUUGUAUUCAACCAAGAUGAUUGGUGGCAAAUUGCAUCUCUAUGCCAUCUUCAGAAAGCUGAUAAGGACAGAACAUGACUCCUGCAUUGUUUCUGAAGAAGACCCCCCCAAAAAAAAAAAAAAGAGAGGAAAAGAGAAACAAUCUUGUCAAACAAACAAUUAAUGUAACCUAAUGUUAACUUACAACAAUCAAAAUCGGAGAUUCUUUCAUAUAUAUAUAUAUCCCUGUGGAUUCAUCUGUUUUCAUCUGUAACCCUGAAAAAUCUGAAUUUUCUCCUGGAAAGCGUAGACAUCCAAUUCAGGGUGGUUGAUUUUUUAUAAAAGACUCUUUUUGUCUUCCACAGAGGGACAUUUUUUGUAAGUAUAUUUGUGACAGAUUUAGUACUUGAAUAGCAUAUGCGAAAGUUCAUUCUGAAGGGACUACAGACGUAAAUGGAUGCAUGGUUUCAGAUUCCAGAGGGACAGAUGUGAAAUAUCCAUCCAUUAAAAGUUAUGAUAAGGUAUAGAUGGAUUACAUUAGAAUAUUAAGAGGAAGAUUCAUUGAAAUAAAUUUAUCUGCAAAUGCUCGAACCGACUUCAAUGAGCUAAGAUCAAGUUGCAGAACAUCCACAUGAGCUUUUGGAUUGCUUUUAACUAAGAGCUCCUUCACAUUAUUUGCGGCCUCCAUAUUUCUCGCAGCAAUUAUGACAUGUGCUCCUCUAAGAGCAAAUACUCUCGCAGUCUCGGCACCAAUUCCACUUGCUCCUCCUAGUCCACAUUAAAACAACAAUUCAUUAACUAAAAAGAGAAAAUACAAUGUUCGAUACAAUUUUGCAUUACCUGAAUUGGUACACAAUGGAAAUAGGAUAUUAAUGAAGAUAACAGCAUAUGCAGGUUAUGUUACUAAAGUCAAUAAUAUAUGUGAGAUCCGCUUAGCGUAUGACUUAAAUUAAGAUAAUAGUUUAUAUAAGAGUUUUAUGCUUAUUCAAUAAUCAGAGCGAUGUAUCUACUGAGGCGAGUUAAUGAUCACAAAAUAUAAUCCACAAGCUAACAUAUGAGCAAACUCAGCAAGUGCUAUAAAUUGCUAAACAAGUAAAAGAAUGCACGGACUAGAAGUAUAUAUAGCGUGUCGUAAAUUUAAGUAAACCAGCAUUAAAUAUACAACAACCUGAUCGCGUAUUGCCUAUUCCCAUUAAUCAGCUGCAUAAAACAAGUUGGUAACCAGGGAACUCAUUUACGGCCUGUUUAGAUGUCGGAACAAGUUAUCCGGUAUAAGUUGUGCUGUUCAAGGAUUUUCUUUUGUAAUUGCAAAUAUAGGAGUCUUAUGGAAUCUUAAGGAUUCCGACCAUUCGGGAUAGCAAGGAGCAUAUUUCCGAGAGAGAAAUGAGAGGGAGGAUGAGGAUGUACUAUACGAUUGAAGAUAUAUUCUCGUACUCCCCAUCAACCAAUAUCCACACGUACGGUCUAUAAGUAAACUAAAAAAGAUAUUCUGAGCAAGAUAUUCACGCAUCCAGGUAGGCACCUAAGAUAUGACUAGCUUUUGCAGCCGGCAUUCAUGCCAAACAAUGAGUCAAACAAACAACUACUUGCCUAAAACACAUACAAGACAAGAUCAUAAGGUCAAGUAGGGAGUUGGAGAAAUUAAAGCUCACCAACUGAGAAGCAUUUAUUUUGAUGGCCAUUUUGCGCUAAUAAUUAAAGUACCGCCGACUCAAACAUUUUAUCCAAGUACUUCUAACAAAGAGGAUAGCAUGUAUAAAUUGUCCCCGAGACUGUCCCGAUGUUGAGACUACAGUCGCUGAACUUUUUGCUUAGAUACUUCAUUCCCUAACUAUCUCAUACAUUACGAUUGCCCGCGAAUCACGAACAAAACAUCUUAACUUCUUCCGCAAAAAUGACCAUCUUAGACGGUGUUAGAAGAAAGUAAUUUCAUAGGGAAUAGUUUAUACCUAUAACAUUCUUUUAUUCGCCGGAGAUGCAACUGGUUUAUACGAAAAAGUUCAGAUACAAAAUGUUUCUUUUGUAUCGUAACCUAUUCAAGUUCCUUCAAAUUUUUUUUUUUUUUUUUUCACGAUUAAUCCUAAUCUAUCACUAUUCAGGCUAUUCAAAACAGGAAAGAAAAAAAAAAAAAAGUUCUUCAGGUGCGGAACAAAGUCACAUUAUGGAAUAGUAUACGAACUAUCCAUACAUUUACCUCAAAAGAAAACCAGGUUACAGGUUGUUGGAAAGGUUUGAGCACAAGCAUGUGCAAGAGAGAAAAAGCCCCUGGUGGAUAGAUAUAACUUUACUCUGCACAGCAAGGAGGGAAAGCUUUUAUUGCGUGAAUAGGAUAGUGGUGGGUUCAUGAAACAACUAAGACUCUGGAACCACCACCCAUCAUGGAAACAUUAACUUUAGGAAGGGUGAGUACAACAUGUGACUUAAGAGAUGGGAAAUGGUGGGCCCAUCUCAAUUUAAAAUCUUGUAGUAGGUGUUAAUUACCACCCAGAAAGUGAAUAGUACCCAGGGAGAGGGAUAAAAAGCAAACAAAAUUUAACUAAAGUUUGAACAACCACAUGGGUGAAACUAAUGUCCAAAUUACUUGAGAUAUGUAAUUUGUACCAUCUAGUUAUCAAUGUCUCUCCUACCAAACACAGCAAUGAAUUGGGUUAUAAAACCGGCCCCGUCCUAGUGCAGAUGGUAAAGAACUUGGUGAUUGAUAUCUGAGGUCUUAAAUUUGAAGUUUAGUUACUUUACAUUUUUAGCUAAAUUUAUUUUAUAAUAAAAAAAAUAAACAAAAAAAAGUUAAUUAUAGAAAAAAAAAAAAUUAAAAUUCAAAAGCCAAAGAAAUAUAUAUAGAACAGUUAACUGCAACACAUGUUGCCCAGUAGCCAUCAAGAAUUCACAAAACACCCACAAAAUGUUCCUCUAAAAUAGAAGCAAAUUUAACAUGGAAUAAGAAGACCCCAAGUGGCAAAAACCCAAAAAAAAAAAGAAAGAAAGAAAGAAGGAAACUAUUAAACUAUGCAGAACAACAGAAAUGCAUGGAGGCCCCCUCAACUACAGGUCAUUUUGAAAGUGACCCCAAACUUUUUUUUCUCUUUAAAUUUCUCUCCACACUUCUUAUUAUAUAUCUGAAUUAUUUUACCAAACUGACUUGAAAGCUACUUAAACUCGACAGCUCUAUUAGCUGUGCAACAAAGUCAAUAGUGACCGACCGUCCCUAGCGCAAAUGGCAAAGGACUUGGUGAUUGAUAUUCGAGGUCCCAAGUUCGAAUUCUAGUUGAUUCACAUUUUCAGCUAAGUUUAUUUCUAAAUAAAAUAAACGAAACGGGUAGCAUGCUACCUAUCUCUCUCUAAAAAAAAAAAAAAAAAACAAAAUCAAUAGUGCCAUCAGCUGAAAAAACAGUUGAAUUUAAUUAUCAUAACAUUAACUUAAACAAAAUUUUGGUAAAAAUGUAUAGCGAAUUCCUUAACUAUAGACUAUUCUGAAAUGAAAUGAACCCUUUACUCGUGACUCUGUCACCUAUUCAUUUACUGGCUCUAAUAAAAUUUUCGAUAAAUGUGAUAAAAUUUUUAAUUUAUUAGACAAAUUAUUUAAGUAUGAAAAAGUGGAAGUUAAGGGUUGCCAAUAAAAAAGAGUAAAGUUGAGGGCAUCAAUUCACAAUAAGCAAUGCUACUAAUACAUCCUAUAAUGAGGUGUAUAUAUAUGUUGCACUCUUUUUAUCCAAAAAUAAUCACUUCUUUCCUUGUAACAUCAAUUUUUUUUUUUUUUUUUCUUUUCAUUUACUAUAACCGAUUUGGAUUCUUGUAAAUUACAGAACGAUGGGGGUAAGAUUUAUACCCUAUUUUGAGAUGUACGAGUGAAAAUUUUCUUUCAAAAUAGUUUAUAGCUGAGAGGCUCUCCAUAAAUUUUUACCUAAAAGUUUCGAAAAAUGCUACCUAUACGCCCCUAUAAAGAGUGUUACAUCCCCACACCCUUCAAAUAAGGGUUGAUACACUUCUCUGGGUUUUAGUUAAAAAAAGAAAAAAAGAAAAAAAGAAAAACAGAAAAGACAAGUUGAUUGAUACACACAAGAAGAAGUCAUUUAAGUUAACUUUGGAUGUAUAUCUUACCAUAUUAUCUAACUUUUUCGCACUAAUCUUAUCGUUUUUUUUUUUUUUUUUAAGAUAGUAAGACUACUUAUCAUCUAAAUGUACAAUAGUAGAUGUACAAUUUUUUUAUUGAUGAAAUAUAUUAUUCUACCAAAUUAUAAGUAGUAAAUUUUUUUUUUAAAAAAAAUAAAAAUUGAACUCCAUAUUUAUAAUUAAUCACAUUAGAAAAUUUUCAUGUAAAUAUUACGAUGUCCAAAUAGACUUCAAAAAAAAUUGAGAUUGAUGAGUUAAAAAAAAAAAAAAAAAAAUAGUUGAGGGGCCAAUUCCAAAAUAGUGCAUCCGCACAUUUUUAGGAGCAAUAUCAUCCGUACACCUCAUAUAAGGGUGUAAAACUUACACUCUGGCCUGUAGUACGCGGCCUAUAUCACACUAUUUGUCAUAUCAUUUUUUUUUUAAUGCUAAUAAUUAUUUGAAGUGUUAGAGAUCCUUGGAUUGCCAGAGUGUAAGAUGUCGACCUCCAGAUGGGAUGUAAGCAGCAUUUUUUUUUUAAUUUUUUUUUUUUUAAAGAUCAGUCGCAAGUUCCGAAACUUGUGCUGCAGUAGCAAACUUAACUAUAUAUAUAUAUAUAUUUAAGGGUAAAAAAAAAAAAGAAAAAAAGAAAAAGAAAAAAAACCAGGGGAGAAAAGAAACCUGUGAUAAUAGCCGUUAGAUGAGCGGCGUCAACACCGUCGGUGACCUGCUCCGCCGUAGAAGCAGAGCCAAAGCCACUCGGCCCCGGCCACCCGGUCACCAGAGAGAACAGACCCAUCUUACUUACUUACUUACUUACGAUCACUUUUCUAUUAUUUUUAUUGUUAUUAUUAUUAUUAUUAUUAUUAUGAAGUGGAAAAAAUGUAGUGGCACACCAGACGAGAGAUAAGUUGAGAUGAGAUGAGAUGAGAUGGAGGAGACGAGGAGACGAUGGUCUUAUUAAUUAUCAAGCACUACUUUACUACUACAAGAAUAUAUCCAGAGAGAGAGAGAGAGAGAGAGAGACAGAGAGAGUAAGGGGGGUGGGGAGUGUGGAAGUUAUUUUCUGGUUGUUGAGGAAUCGAUAGUGGUUUGGUCGAAGAGAGAAAGGGCGAGGAAAGAGAGAGAGAGAGAGAGAGAGAGAGAGGGAGGGGGAAGCAGAGGUUUAAUGCGCGCCGCAUCGGGAGUCGUGAAGCAUAUUCGUCGUGAAAAAUAAUUUAGAAUGUAUCAGUUAUAUUAUCAGAACAAUUAUAUAUAUAUAUAUAUAUAUAGAAUUAUGCUACUACACUAUCAAUAGUACCAAGUCCUUAGUACUAUUGAGUUUUCGACCGUUGAAUGAAAAGAUGUGCGGUUAGGAUGAUAGUGGUCCCUAGUAAAAUUGAUAAUGGUCCCCUAGGGUUGAGUGGGUGGUUGGUUUAAUAGUAUAAUCUAACGGGUGGAAAUGAUCAAAGGUAGAUCUAACAGUAGAAAACUCAAUAGUACCAAGGGCUUGGUACUAUCGAUAGUAUAGUAGCCGGACUCUAUAUAUAUAUAUAUAUAUAUAUAUAUAUAUAUAUAUAUAUUUUAAAAAAAAUCUCGAUUUCUUAGUUUAUUCUUUUUAGAAGGUUGAUAUUAAAAAUAUUUUUUAUAUUUCAAGUUAUUUCAAAUAUAUAUAUAUAUAUAUAUAUAUAUAUAAAAAUAUUAAUUUUAAAAAAAAUCUCGAUUUCUUAGUUUAUUCUUUUUAGAAGGUUGAUAUUAAAAAUAUUUUUUAUAUUUCAAGUUAUUUCAAAUAUAUUUAUAGAGUUAAAUUCUGUUAGUGAUCUGUUAGUAAUAAUCGUUAUUUCUGUAAAAUUAAUAUUUUAUCCUUUUUAAUAUACUUUUUUAUCAUCACAAAUUUUUCUUAUUUGUCCUUAAGUUAGGGACAAAAGGCGUAUUUUGAUUUUUAGUCCUUUCAAACAUACCUUUCUACCAUCAUCAACUUUUCUUAUUUGCCCUUAAGUUAAGGGCAAAAGAGGUAUUUUGAUUUUUUUUUUACUUCUAGUAAACAUUUAACUUGCGUUUAACCCGAGAUAACUUAACGGGUGGUAAUUGUAGGGGUAUUUUUGAAUAACAGAGAAAUAUAUGAGAUGUAUAUUGGAAACAAAAGAAAACUAGAAAUAAAUUAGAUAUUUUUGGAGUUUUGAGGGGUAUAUAGACAAUUAUCCCUAUAUUAUUAAUGCAAUAUAUUUCUAAACAAUUAGGUAGCAUUUGGUUCGGGAACAAGGAGGGGAAUAAGCCCUUGUUCCCCCCUUUAUUCCCAAACGUGAUGUUUGGUACCCAGGAACAAUAGUUCCAGAAUUUCAAGAACAAGCUGGUAUAAGGCUGUAACUGCUGUUCCACCUUUUUCUUGAAAUAAGCUUGUUCCUUGAUGAGAACAAGGUUAAUUAAAAUCUAAAUUUAAUUUUAAUGACAAUAAAUUAUUAAUUAAUCUAAUUAAUAUAUUUAAAUUAUUAUUUAUUACUUUAAUAAUUAAAUAAUUAAUUAAUUUAUUAUUUAUAAUUAAUUAAUAAUAAUUAGAUAAUCUAUAGUAUUAUUAAUUUAUUAUUUAUAGUUAAUUAUUAAUAAUUAUUAAUUAGACAAUCGUUAUUAUUAUUAAUAUAUUAUUUAUAAUUAAUUAUUAAUAAUUAGAUAAUUAUUAUUAUUAAUUUAUUACUAGUAAUUAAUUAUUAAUAAUUAUUAAUACUUAUUAUUAUUUAUAAUUAAUUAAUAAUAAUUAAUUAAUUAUUUUAUUUUUAAGUAAUAUUUUGAUGUUAAUUAAUUACAUAAUAUAAUUUAAAUUUCAAAUUAUAACUCUUAUUUCUCUUGUUCCAAUCGAACCAUCCAAAUACUAUUUACCUUAUUUCUAGAAACAACCCAAUUUUCAUCGAAACGCAAAAUUGGUCUAGUUCCUGCUUAUACCUGAAUUUGUACCUAUCCAUAGAACUAGUGGUUCUUAUUUAUACCCGAACCAAACGCAGCCUUAGAUUAUCCCUUUUAGGUUCACCCAUUCCAUCAUAAUUAUUAGAGAAAUAUUUUUAUUGUACUUUUUUUUUUCUCAAACAGAGAGAUGCGAUAGACUGAUUAUUGAUGAUAUAAUGCAAGUGUGAUAUAAUAGACUUCCGCCUGUUUUGGGGCGAACAAUAAAUUUUUAUCUUAAAAAUAAAAAAAUUUUGAGCUAAAUUAGGGCCCGUUUGGCCUAACUUUUGAAAAAGUGAUUUCUGAAAAAGUGAUUUUGGUUUAGAGAAUUGAUUUUGGUUAAAAGCUGCAGAGCGUUUGGCCGAGUUUAGAUAAAAGCGAUUUUUCAGAAGUGAUUUUCAAAAACUGUUUGGCAUAUAUUUUUUUUGAUGUUUAUAUAAAUUAAUAUUUUUAUUAAAUUUUAUUUUAAAAUAAUUUAAAAUCUAAAUUUAAAUUUGAAUUAAAAUUAAAAUUUUUAAAUUUCAAAAUUGUACAAAAUUAAAAAUGUCACGCCCCGGUUUACUCGUUUUUCCGGCUCGCUGACAGACCCGCCGUAUAUAUAGGUAUUUUUCCUGUAUACGAAGCGAAAAAGUAGAAGUGCCUGUAAUCAUACAAUACUACAAACAGUAGUAUAGAGCAGCUAGGAAAAUAAACCAGAAAUAAAAACUGCGGUUCCAAUACAUACAUGUCAUCCAGGUAUACAAACACUCGCUCAUGCGAGAAAACAACAACUGUAUGUAAAGACCCAAAAACUACAACUACUUGUAGCUGGUGCUCUCUAGCUCUGCGACUCGAUCGGAAGGGCUCUAACUCGCGACGCCCUUGCCACGAUCAAGAUCAGCAACAGCAUUAGCCGAAGGCGACGGCUCUGUAAAAACAGUGAUAACAACUGGACGUGAGAACUACUGUAAAACAAGUAGUCCUCAGUGACGGUCCCUGCUGACGGGAUCCCCUGGAAUGCUAACGCCCCGAUGACCCACGACCCUGAGAGCGAGAUCGUGGAGGUCUCGGUGGACGUCUGCUGCUCGUCUGACCGCCGUCAUCAGGAAAAGGGCACUUCUUGUCCUGGCACUACCCCGAUGCCAUAGUCCGCUCCUAGACUGAUAUACCUCCGUGCUCUACCCAGAGUGUCUACUGCACAAAUGCUCCUGGCUCACCGCCCUACCACUGGGUAACAGUCUCGCACAUCCUCUGCAAUAGUACACUCUGCUGCUUGAUCACCUCUGACAAAGCAGCCAACUGCUCUCUCAAAUCAGGGGGUGCACUCACCUCUGGUCGUGCACUCGGCUCUGCCUGCUCAGGCAUCUCAUGCGGUGCGGCACGAUCCCUGGUCGACGAUUGACCUCGGCGACGAUACAUAGCUGAAAGGAACAGAGUAGGGUCAGACAAAAUACAAACACUCUCGACCCAAUCAAACAAAAGUCUAGAAGGCGGCUCCUGUUUCUCUACAAAAUUAUGUCGUCUGCAGCCAACAUAAUUUUUCCAGAUUGAAACAGAAACUCCUUCAAUCACUCCCUCCGCUUCAGGAGGAGUUAGAACAAUCAAUCAGUGACUUUCGCGAUAAAUCACGCCUCUCGCGUCUUGCCUUCCUAAGGUUUGCCAAACUUAGGGUUUCUAGGUCCCAACGACCUAUAGCUAAGCUCUGAUACCAACUUAAUUCCUUUACGAGUCAGUCGAGUGAGUAGUGUGGAAAGCUUCGCAAAGCCUUCCACAAAUCGACAGUAAUAACCAGCAAGUCCAAGGAAACUCCUCACUUCUGUCACUGUCGUCGGUCUGGGCCAAUCUCGAAUAGCAUCAAUCUUUUUCGGGUCCACUGCCACUCCAACCGCAGAUAUCACGUGGCCCAAGAAAGCAACAUCCCGCAACCAGAACUCGUACUUCUUUAACUUGGCAUACAACUUCUUCUCUCGCAGAAGCUGUAGCAAAAAAUUUGAUAUUUUAAUUUGAAAAAUAAAUUUAAAAAUUAAAAAUUUAAUAAUUUAAAAAUUAAAAUUUAAUAUUUAAACAUUAAAACUUAAAAAUUAAAAAUUAAAAAUUAAAAAUUAAAAUAAUUAUGAAAUUUAAAAUAAAAAAAUAUAAAAAUUUAAAAUUUAAAUUAAAUUUAAAAAUAUAAACUGAUUUUGAAAUUUAAAAUAUAAAAUUUUAAUAUUUAAAAAUAUAAAUUUAAAUCUAAAUUUUAAAUUUCAAACUUUAAAUUUGAAAUUUAAAAUUUAAAAUUUAAAAUUUAAAAUUUAAAAUAUAAAUAAUUAUCAAAUUUUAAAUUUAAAAUAUAAAAUUUUCAUAUUUAAAAAUAUAAAUUUAGAUUUUAAAUUUUAAAUAUAUUUAAAUUUAAAAUUUAAAAUUUAAAAUAAUUAUGAAAUUUAAAAUAUACAAUAUAAAAUUUGAAUAUUUAAAUUUAAAAUUUGAAUAUUUAAAUAUAAAAUUUGAAUAUUUAAAAUUUAAAAUUUAAAUUAUAAUUUGUAAAUUAAAACUUGUAAUUUAAAAUUUGAAAUUUGAAAUUUUAGAUUUUAAAAUCUAAAAUUUGGGAUUUGAAAUUUAAAAUUAAAAUUUAAAAUUUAAAGUUUGAAAUCUAUUUUUUAAAUUUUAAAAUUGUAAAAUUAAAAUUUAAAAAUUAAAAAAUAAAACUAAAAAUUAAAAUUGAAAAUUAAAUUUAAAUUUAAAUAUUGAAUUUAAAAUUAAAACAAAAAUUUUAAGUUUGAGUCUAAAAUCAGAAUCAGAUUUUAAGAUGCAGUUUUUUUCUGCUUUUGAUUUUGAGGCCUUCAAAAUCAGUUUUCUGAUUCUAAGAAGUAGAAUCAGAUUUUAAAGAUGAAUUUGCCAAACACUCUAUUGAGUUGAAAAUUACUUUUUAACCCAAAAGCGCUUUUUAAAAGCUUGGCCAAACACCCCCUUAGAGUUCAAUUGAAAUUUGUUUCGCCGUUAUUUGUUUGAUAAAAAAUUAGUGGUCUUGAAAUUACAGUGAUCUUAUGUUGUUAUUUAUUAUCAUUAAAAAUAUGUACACUAACAUAUAAGAGGGUAAAAAAAAUUACUGUAAUUUUUUUUUUUAAAUUUUAUAUUUCUUUUCUCUCGUAAUUGACUUCGAUAUCACCAAGGCAUAGUUAAUUACGACAUUUUUUAAAAAAUAAAGUUACGGACGAAUUUAAUUUACACCAAAUCAAACAAUAACAACCAAAAAUAACAUUUUCACGAAAGUGAAAGAGCAUGAACUUGUUUUUAGAAGCAAAAACCUACUUCUAUUGUUUCGUGUGCUGUAACUUAAAAUUGCUUGUAACUUUAUUUUUUCUUUUCAAAACAACGUAAUUGACUUCGCAAAGAUGGAGGUGAAGUCAACUAUGAAAGAAAAAGAGAUAGAAAAAAAAAACUGCUAUACCUUUUUCUCCUUUCUAUGUGCUGCUGUAAAAAUUUUCACUAAAAGAAACAAAAAAGGAUAACUACAAAUCCAAAUUCAUUGACUUCCUAUCAAACAAACAAUGGUGGAAUUUAAAUUCUACCAAACCUCUUGUCUCAUUUAUAUCAUUCUUUUUAAUUCAAGUCUAUAUUCUGGACUAUAUAUAUAAUUGUGCUAAAAUACUAUUAAUAGUAUGAUACUAUCCACUUUAUGAACCAUUGGAUGGCUAAGAUUGAGUGAGUAAUUGAGCUACUAUGCUUUUAAAAAUAAUAAGUCAUUAGUGCUGGCAGGUUUUCAGCCUUUGGAUGAAGAUUUGUAGGGUUAGGAUAAUAGUGGUCUCGGGAGAGUUGAGUGGUGGUUAGUGGAAUAACAUAAUCUAUGUGUGGAAUUUGUCAGAGAUACCGAUAAAAAAAAAAAUACAAGCGCCAAGUGCUUGGUGCUUUUGAAAGCACCAUAGCCGGACUAUAUAUAUAUAUAUAUAGAAUUGACCUCCUAUGCUUUUAAAAGUACAAAAUUACUAAUGCUUAUAAUUUUUUGGCCGUUGGAUGAAGAUUUAGAUGGUUAGGAUGAUAAUAGUUUGUACCCUUAAUAGGGUUGAGUGGGUGGUUGGUGGAAUGGCAUGAUCUAAAGGGUGGAAUUGGCCAAAGGGAUAGAUCCAACAAUAAAAAAAUUACAAACACCAAGUGUUUGAUGCUUUUGAAAGCACCAUAGACGAAAUAUAUAUAUAUAUAUAUAUAUAUAUAAAGAGAGAGAGAGAGAGAGAGAGAGAGAGAGAGUUGGGCUAGAAUACUAUUGAUAUCAAAAGACCCUUUUUGCUAUCAAGUUUUUAACUCUCGAAUGAGAAAUUGUAGGGUUAGGAUGAUAUUAGUUCCUUAAGGUUGAGUGGUCCACCUAGGGUUGAGUGGUCCCCACUGAGUUAUAAUAUUUAAUCCAAUGGUUAGAAAUGAUGAAAGGAGUUGAGCUAAAAGUUAAAAACUUGAUAGCAAAAAGGGUCUUUUGCUAUCAAUAGUAUUCUAGCCCAACUCUCUCUCUUUGUCACGCUCAGGAUUACUUGUUUUUCCGGGCACGCUAAUAGACCCGUCAUAUACAUAAAAAAAUUUUCUGUAUACGAAGCGAUAGCUGUACCUGUACCUGAAAUCAUACAAUACUACAACCAGUAGUAUAGAGCUGCUAAAAAGAAAUAUAUAUGUAAAUAACAUCGGUUCAACAAACAUACAUACAUAGUAUUCUGAUACAAAAACACUCGCUCCGGUGAGAUACUAACAUCAGUAUGUAUAAGAAUCAAAAACUACAACUACCUGUAGCUGGUAUAACUCUCUAGGUCAGUAGCAACUGGGAAGGGAUCUAGCUCACGACUCCCUUCCACGAUGAGUCUCCACGACAGCAGCAGCCGAAGAGGAGGGCUCUACAAAAAGAAUCCACAACUGGGUGUGAGAACUACUGCAAAAAGAAGUAGUGCUCAGUGGGUAUCGCUACCAACCUCAACGGCUCACCUACUAAGUCUACAGAAGUAAGCAGGGAUAGUAAGGAAAGCUGGAACAAAUCUAUAGCUAUAUGCCACUAUACUAUCGUGAUCCAACACUAACUAUCUAUAGAAAAUACAAAUUCUGACCCAAUCUCACUAGGGACUGUGAACACACCCGUCCCGCCUGUUGAAGCUACACUAAUUGCCACCACGCUAGGUCGUCAGUGGAGAGCAAGUCCAAACAGGACAAACCGACGUCAACGCAAAAGCACUAAGCCCGACUCCGGAGUGGCACGCGUGGGCGCUACCCAACCGAGUAUGCAAGCGUGUCUCUGCCAAGCUCAAUCAGGCUCUCACAGGCUGUAAUCAAAGUAGAAAGAUCUCACUGGUCUAAGAACCAUAAUCUACGUGCUCUCGGCACAAUCUGAUGCAAAAACAGCCAGCAGGGUCCACCGUCAACCGUGACAGCACCCGACAGUCCGGAACAGUCUAUACACUGCUGUAAAAAUAAGCUCAGCAUCCCAGCACGAGCGUAAAUAUAUUCUACACUAUUAUAGGUAUCCACCGUCAACAGACUGCGGCGAUACAAACCAUCUACAGCUCCUAAAGUUAGCUCUGGUAGUUUUAGCAGAUGAAAGUGUAGAACCUAUAGUUUUCUCCUAAGUCAAUUCCAAGUCCAACAUGUAUAAUUUAGCUAAUAUUCUAAGCUCCAAUUCAGAUUUAAGAAUAAAGUAAAUCAACGAAUCGAGCUACUAAACAUGCUAUGCAAAGCGGAAAAUACAUGCUGUUAUAUAUAGGCUUAGGAGAAAAUUCGUAGAAUUCGGUAAACAUAUCAUUAACCCACCUCUAGCGCGAGUCCGACAAGGCUAGAAGUCGCUGGGAAGCUCGGCAGUGAUCACCCACGAACCAGCAACAACCUUCUCCAAUGAUCUAAACACAAAAACACCAAAAUUUCAACACUUAAGCUUAAUUUCUCCAAAACCUCAAUGUCAAACUCACCUUUCAAUCCUCAAUUCAGGUGAGGAAAGGUUCCAAAACUAGUGGAGAAUGAUAGCGUAAAGUUCUCAGGUCCGAAUUCCAGCUUUCUCCUAGAAUUGAUCCAAGAGAACCACAAAAGUCCCAAUUUCAGCUCAAGUAUAACAGCAGCCCAGAAAAACGCCAAAUUGACUAUACAAACCUCAAUCAAAUGCUGUCAAAAUGGGCUUCACGAAAACUCCAAGAAGUCUAAUAACCACGAAACCAAGGUUUGCAGUAAUCGGAGCUUCCUACGUCGCACACGAGCCAAAACACCGAAGGUCGCUACUGGAAAUCUGUAGAAACUGCAAUCCUCAAGGUGGAAUUGUGUAAAUUUGGAGGGUUAGAGGGAUUAGAGUGCAAAUUAUAGGCUUCUUUGUGAAGAAGGGUGAAAAAGCUUCUCAGGGGAUCGCACCCAAGCUUUUAUAAGGAGGUGAAAAGGUCUGAUAAGCCCCAAGAACCAAAAACACAAACCUGCUGUUCUUGCAGAAAUGACUACAUUCGGGCCCCCGAGACCCACUUCUGGGCGUCCGAAACUCCCAAGCUAUACAAACACUCCUCUUCGGUUCCUCCGCCCACGGUACGAUGUGCCCAAAACCUGGUUCGGCGGAUCUCACCUACCACAAGACACGUGUCAGCACAGUCGAUACUCCCAAAGUGAACAUUCGGACCCACUUCUGGACGCCUGGAACACAGGAUCCGAAUUGGCUUCCAGUUCAGCUCUGUUCAGCACUCAAGAUCUGGGCGAUCGAAACUAUGUUCUGGGCGCCCGAAACUCGCAAAACUCCAGUUUUUCUUAUUUGAGUGCGCGAAGUCCAUUUCAUGCAAAACGACUCCAACUCAGUCCAACACUCUCCAGAUGUGUCGACUAGUCACUAAUACUAAAACCAAUCCGAUAUCAAACCCUCGGGACACUACAUCCUCCCCCACUACAAAAAGUUUUGUCUUCGAAACUUGAUGCAUACCUCAAUCCUGAGCAUCGGACAAGUAGGGAUAGGACUCCCGCAUCACCGUCUUUGGCUCCCAAGUCACAUCUCGCUCCUUGUGAUGACUCCACUGCACUUUUACAUAAGGAAUGACUCGGUUGUGCAAUUCUUUCGUUUCACGAGCCAGAAUUCGCAUCGGUCGCUCCUCAUAUCUUAAGUCAUCGCCAAGCUCCAGCGGAGUGAAGUCGAUCACGUGAGAAGGAUCGAACACGUAUCUCCUCAAUGCCGAGACGUGAAAAACAUUAUGAAUACCAGCCAGUCGUGGGGGUAGAACAAUCCUGUAGGCAACUGGUCCAACUCGCUUUAAUACCUCAAAAGGGACAACAAAGCGUGGACUAAGCUUUCCACGCACUCCGAAUCUGCGUAUCCCUCUGGAUGGCGAGACUUUCAGAAAUACAUGAUCUCCAACCUGAAACUCUAAGAUUCGUCUCCUGGUAUCGGUGUAGCUCCUCUGCCGAUUCUGGGCUGUCAAAAUAUGUCGUCCCACCGCUUUAACUUUUUUCUUAGCCUUAAUCAGAAUCUCAGGCCUCAGAGUCUUCCUUUCAUCCACAUCACUCCAAUACAAAGGGGAUCGACACCUGCGUCCAUACAAUGCUUCAAACGGAGCCAUCUGAAUGCUCGUUUGAUAGCUGUUGUUGUACGCAAACUCAACAAGUCUCAAAUGUCGAUGCCACCUUCCUCCAAAGUUCAGGAUACAUGCUCUCAGCAUGUCCUCUAGAGUCUGAAUGGUCCGCUCUGACUGACCAUCCGUCUGUGGGUGAAACGCCGUGCUGAAAUGCAACUGUGUACCCAAGGCUGUCUGAAGACUCCUCCAAAAGUGCAAAAUGAAUCUCGAGUCUCGGUCCGAUACUAUCAAGGUAAGCACACCAUGCAAUCUCACUAUCUCAUCUAGAUAUAAUUGCGUGAGUCUCUCCCUAGACCAGGUGGUCUGUACUGGUAGGAAGUGGGCAGAUUUAAUAAGUCUGUCCACUAUCACCGAAAUAGCAUCGAAACCACUCUGUGCUCUCGGUAAUCCCACGAUAAAGUCCAUCGUGAUCUGCUCCGAUUUCAACUCGGGCACUGGCAGAGUCUGAAGCUUGCCAGCAGGUACCUGAUGCUCUACCUUUACCUGUUGGCAAGUCAAACACUGAGCCACAAAUCUGCAAAUGUCUCUCUUCAUUCCGUUCCACCAAUAGUGUGCAUUCAAGUCCUUAUAUAAUUGAGCUCCUAUGUCUUUAAAAGUACGAAAUUAUUGGUGGGUGUAAAUUUUUGGUCGUUGGAUGAAGAUUUGGAUGGUUAGGAUGAUAGUAGUUUGUUUCCCAGAGUUGAGUGGAUGGUUGGUAGAAUAGCAUGAUCUAAGGGGUGUAAUUCGUCAAAGGGAUAGAUCUAACGGCGGAAAACUUACAAGCGCCAAGUGCUUGGUGCUUUUAAAAGUACCAUCGCCACAAACUACAUAUAUAUAUAUAUAUAUAUAUAUAUAUAUAUAUAUAUAUAUAUAUAGAGAGAGAGAGAGAGAGAGAGAGAGAGAGAGAGAGAGAGAGAGUCCGGACUAUUGGUGCUUGUUAAAAAGCACCACGCACUUUCGCAGUGCUCUUGUAAAUUUUUUUAACCUGGUUAGACUCUACGUAUUUUGAUCUUUUCAACCUUUAGAUUAUACUAUUCAAUUCAACUACCCAACUAACCCUAGCGGACAUAUCAUCCUAACCACAUAUUCCUUAUCAAUUGGCAAAAAAUUUACAGUACCAAUCUUGGUUUUUAAAAGCAUAGGAGCUCACAUCUCUCUUCUCUCUCCUCAUCUUUCUCUCUUUUUCUAUAAUAUAUAUAUUAUAUAUAUUAUAGUCUAUAUAGAAGUUGAGUGGAAUGCUUAUACGGUAGCAACGGGCGUCGUGUUGCCACCAUUGUUUUCGAUGAUGGAGACUUUCAAAUCGCGAUCGGCACCUUGAACAUGAUUUAAUCACUGAAGUAUCUAGAAAUCAAUUUCAAAUCUUUUGCGACAUUCAUUUACUAAUUGUCAAAGAGGCUUAAAAAUAGUAAUUUUAAUGGUUGAUAUGAGGGGUUUUCUUCCUUUUAACGGAUUUGCUGUAAGCUAUCAAAUAAUUAUUUUGUUAGAAUUUUCUUUAACUAUUUAGACACAGAUCUAUCUUCUCGAUAUGAUUACAAAAUCUUCUAUUCACUUUUUAGCGGGAUAUUCAUUUUCAGCAUUCUUUUACGCACACUUGCUGGUACAGAAACAUAUCGCGAAAGUAUUGAAUUUUGAUUUCUUAGAGAUUUCAAGUAGGUAUAGAUAUUUUUAACCGGAUCCGAUCGUCGAUUUGGAUUGCUCCAUCAUCGAAAACAAUGCCGGUGCAACUGAGCCGUUUAGCUACUUAUAGUAUUCCAGCUCAACUCUCUCUCUACUAUAUAUAUAUAUAUAUAUGUAUAAUUAUUUAUAUAUAUUAAUUUAUGUAUAAUAUACUUAUUAUAUAUAUACAUAUUUGUAUAUAUGUAUAUAUAUAUAUACAUUAUAUGUAUAUUAUCGUAUAUAUAUAUAAAGCUAAGCCUGGAAUGACUAUUAAUAGCACAAUGAUCUUGGUGCCUAUUAAGUUUUUCUGUCUUUGGAGUUAAAUGAUCGUGCGGUUUAAGAUGAAUGUUGAGCACCAUAGGGAUUGAACGGGUGGUUGGUAUUGAUAGUUAAUCGAACGGAUGAAAAUUGAUAAAGAGAUAAAUUUAAUGACAGAAACUUGAUAGCGACUAAAUGCUUCGUGUAUCGAUUGUAUCCUAGCGGACUCUCUCUCUUUCUUUCUCUCUCUCUUCUCUCUCUUCUCUGCGUAUAUAUUAUAUAUAUUAUUAUUUAUAUAUAUACUCUAUAUUAGUAUAGUAUAUAUAUAUAUAUAGUAUAUAUAUUAUAACUAUAUAUAUAUAGAACUAGGUUGGGAUAUAUUAUUUAGCACAAAGCUAUUAAGUCGCUAAUUAGUUUUUUACCCUUUGGAAUUGAGAAAUGUGCGGGUAGGAUGAUGUGGGUCCCCAAGGGAUUGAGUGAGUGGUUUGUGAAUAGUAUAAUCUACAGGUAAAAAUAAUAAAAGGGGUUAAUUAACGUGCGAAAACUCAUAGCACCAAGUCCUUAGUUGCUAUUCGCAUAGGUAUCCCAGUCGGCUCUUCUCUCUCAUGUCUCUCUCUCUCUUCUCUCUCUCUACUCUCUCUUUAUAUAUAAUAAUAUAUAAUAUAUAUAUAUAUAUAUAUAUAAAGAGAGAGAGAGAGAGAGAGAGAGAGAGAGAGAGAGAGAGAGAGAGAUUCUCGCUAUUAUACAUCGAUAGUACUAAGCGCUUGACGCUAUCGAGUUUUUCAUCGUUACAUCUACGCCUUUGACGAUUUUCUCCUGUUAGAUUAUAUUAUUCAACCAACCACCUACUCAACCCUAGAGGACUACUAUCAUCCUAACCACACAUCCCUUCAUCCAAGGGCUGAAAAUUUAAUAGCACCAAUGUCUUAGUGCUAUUACUAGUAUAGUAACCUAGUUUAUAUAUAUAUAUAUAUAUAGAGAGAGAGAGAGAGAGAGAGAGAGAGAGAGAGAGAGAGAGAGAGUUGGGCUACUAUAUUCUUAUAAAUGUAGUACUCUUUAUACUCAUAAGUUAUUUUCAAUGAUGGAGCUUUCAAAUUGACGAUCCAUACUGUUAAAUAUGAUUUAAUGCAUUUGAACUUCUAGAAAAUAAAUUUUGUAAUUCUUCAAAAUUAUAAUAAAGUCUACCAAGUGAGCAUAAAAUGAACAGGUCAAAAUUGAAUGAUAUAUUGAAAGUAAAUAAUUUGAUCCUUCAAUUUAAGAUCGGAGUUAUUGAUUUUCAUCUAGAUAGUGAAUGAAAUUUUUUAUCAAAAAUUCAACCAAUUCCUAUUCUUUUAAACCAUUAAACUAGCAAGUAUAUUUAUCACGCCCCGAGACUCACCACUUUGGUUGGAUUCGGCGCGCCAACAGUGUAGUACCCGAAACUUUGGCCAAUUGCAAAGUUCGAGUGUUUGAAUAGCAAUUGAAACUGUUCCACAUCGAGAGGUUUUCAGCAAGUUACUAGAGCGAACAAGUGGCCGGAAGAGCAAAAGUGCAUUGAAGCAGCACAAAUUUGUAUUUUGGCACCGAGUACCAGUACCAGCAUGGUCCAGUACCGGUACCCAGCACAGCAGUAGCUGCGUGGCUGAGGCUAUUUUGGACUUUUCACUUCCUAAGCUUAUCCUUAUCACCCCAGCUUGACCCCUCAGCUUGUUCUUAUCAUGUUGGAGCUUUGAGAACAGGGGUGAGCUUCUCUCUCUUUCUCUCUCUAGGUUUUCCAUUUUGAGAUGGAAAACUAGUGUUUUAAUCUUGGUUUUUCCUUCUCUUUUGUUGUAGCUGAUUGGGAAGGCUUUGGAGCUGUGUUUUGCUGUUGGAGAGAGAGAGGUUUUGUAGGUUUUUCGCAGCCCUAGCUCAGCAAGAAGCUGAGUGGAAGUUUGGUAAGGUGAAGGAUUCAACUUCUCUCUAGAUUCAUGCUAUAGUAGUAAAGUUGAAUUGUCUUGGUUUCUUUGUACCAACUGGUUUUGGGAGAGAUUAAAGCAGCAAUAGAAGUGAUGUUUUACUGUUAUUCUUCAACUCUAAUCUAGGGAAAACAGAAUUGAAGCUUUGGAAGGUGAAUUAACAACUCUCUUCUCUAGUUUCAUGUAGUAGUGGCUAUAGUAAUGGAUUGUGAGCUUGUUCUUUGCCCUAUGCUGCUAGCUAGUUCGCAGAGCUUUGUAGUGGCUGUAGAAGUGGAGUUUGGCUAUAAUUCUUCAACCUUAACUCUGUAGAAAUUGAGUUAGAGCUGUACAAGGUGAACUAGCUAACUUUGCUACUAGUUUUGAGAUAUUGGAAACAAUUGUGAAAGAGUGUAUAGUGUAUGUUCAUAGCAGGUUCACAGCAGGGUAUUGGAUUCCUUUGGUUGAGAUUCAUGAGCUUUGGAAGGUUGGUUUGAUGUGUUCCAACCUGAAUUGAAAAGGAAUUCAAGUUUGGUUACUCCUAGGUGAGAUUCUAACCUAGACUAUGUGACUAUGUGAGGAUUUUUAUGUGAAAGCUUGGUUGAGGUUUUAGCUGAUUUUAGAAUCAUUGUUAGGGUACUUGAAGACUUCGGAUUACCUCCACUUGCGGAGUCAAUAAGAAUCGUCGACUAAUUGGUGGGUUUGACCUUACUGAAAUAGGUGAAUUCCCUCUAUAUCUUUUUUGACAUUAUGAAAGAAGAAUGGUUAUAUAUAUUCUUGAGAAUAUAAGCUUGAAUGAAUGUGUGUAUGCAUGAAAUCUCUAUGUAGUAAAGGAAAAAGGAUUUUGGGAACUAAUAUAUUCCAUGUGUAUUAUCUAAGGUUAGUAAAACUUGUGUAGACAAGUUAAACAUGAUAUCAGUGAUUGAGAAUCAAGGCAAAGCUAUGAAUAGUACUUUUAGUGUAGUUUAACAACUAAGCGGGGAAUGAUUAUGAUAUUUAACUCUUGAGUUAUUUUCUGCUAUUCCAUGUUUUAGACAUGACGACAGAAUUGCUAUGUAUAUUGCAUAAAACAAGAUUAUAUCUUUGUAUUAUGAAAUGAAUUGUUUAGAGAUCCUAUAUAGAAUACUCUAUCUGAGGUUGUGUAUACUUGUGUAAACAAGCUAUCCAUGGUAUUCAUAUGAUAGAACUAGUAUGAACUUCGUGUUCUGGUAUAUGAUUUAAUUAAAUAACUGGAACUUAGCAUUAUGACAUAACAUGAUCGUGAUACUAAGGAAUAUAACCUAGUUAAAUAACUAGGGUUAAAUAUGAUGUUAUACUUGUUGACUUCAAGUAGUGGAGGUUAUUGAAAAACUAUAGAAUAUGUGCCAUGAGUUACAUGAACACUAGAAUGAGUCAUUGAGUAUGACCUUAGUAAACCACUUUUCUUAUGUAUAGGGAGUAGUGAAAGGAUUGUAUAUGAGUAUGUGGGUAUAGCCCAUUAGAAUCAUCAAUAUGUUGUAAAGCAUAUACUUGUUUAAGUCAUACUACCUAUUGGUAGAAAUAUGUCACCAAGUAGUUGAUAGUGAAUUAUGACUUAGUGGUAAUUGUCGACUUUGUGUCGAGUUGAGAUUCCAUGUUAGAGACAUGAUGAACUUGUGAUACCUAUGCUAUGGAUUACGUUUGCUUGCCAUGUGCUCAUUUGCACACCCUUGUGAGGGUCGCGCCCCACAAGCCGGCACUCCGGAGUUAGCCUAGCGACAGAUUGCUCGCUUCUGUACGAGACUGAGCGCCGAAGUGGAUUGCUGUGGGUAGUGUUGACUUCCACGGGGCUAUUAGGCACGGUACGAGCCGGGACUUCAUUUUGUGUAAGUCUCUUGUUAAUUGGGUUAUGGUAAGUGACUUUAGCCUUAGAUGGACAUAGUAGUAAAGAUACUUUAUGUCAUUAGUCGAAUAAACCUAGUGAUGAACAUACUAGGAGGUUGACAUCCCUAUUAGUUAGUAGUAUAGUGACAGUACGUUUACACUCUUGUUAGUGUAGGAAAAUAGCUACAUGAUGUCAUUAGCUAGUGAAAUUAUGAUGAUAUUUUGCAUAUAGCAUGACAUAUAGCUGAUUAAACUGAUAAUUAACCUGACAAGUAGAACUUGUUAUGAUGAACUAGUAUAUAAGACAUGUUAGAAAACAUAUCUUGUGAGGCAUGCUAUAGUUGAUUUACUUGUUGCAUUUACUUUAUUUGCUUAUUGUUGUUUACUCAUGCCUCAGUUGACCUAGUGGUGUACUUCGCCACUCUCGGCGGUUUACCCACUGGGAACUAUUGUUUAAUAGUUCUCACGCCCUUUUGUUGGUUGUUUUUAUGCAGAGCCUUCCACAGCGGGAAAGGCUAGGAUUUUCCUGGCAAGGGGUCAGCGGAUAGCUAGAGCCUUCUCGAUGUUAAAUAGAUGGAACCAUACCAGCUUCUCUAGUCUAGUUCAGUAUUGUAUAUUGGAACUGUGUAGAAUGCACUUUGUACAUUACUUUUAAGUUGUAAUAAGGUUUUGUGUUGUAUAAGUUUUUAAACUUUUAAUUUUUUUCUGAUUAUCUGGUUAAGUAUUAUGCUUUUGCUAUAUUGAUUUUAGACACCUGGUGUACACUUGAGGUUGUGGUGUACACGGCGGGUCUGUGCACGUUACUGUGAGCUUCCACUGAAGUCCAGGGCAUGAGAAACAGACUGCUGAACAGACCGAGUUUUCGCUGUCCGCCCAAGGCGUUACAAUCAAUACAAUUCAAGUGGUUCCAACUAGGAACAGAAUUCAUACGCCGAUUGUAUAAGGAAGACAUCAAACAUAAUUACUAGGCUAUUACAAGAGCAUUCGUCACAUUUCAUAUUACAUUUACAUUUACAUUCUUUUUGCUUCCAAAUACAAUCAACUUUAUUACAAUUUGUUCAUUCCUUUCUAUACCCUAAGCUAUGUUGACCCAGGGUACAUUUAUCUCUGGUCUCAAGUGGUAGGGUGCUAUCUACCGAGCUACGCUCUUUCUUCGCGCUGCCGCGCCGCUCACGUGUAGACUUGAAAAACAUGGGAGUGAGAACUAUAAACAUAGUGUUCAGUGGGUACAGCCACCCAAGAGAAGAGCUUAACCCACCAGGUCCAAAGGAGGCAAUAUAAGUAAGUUAGUCCAACAUAUAACAUAUAGUUCAACUUUAUGCAAUUAAAAAAAUAUCAUACUUAUGCCUCAACAAAAUGUAAUAAUGAAAUCAAUGAAAGUACAUAUCAUCUUCUACUUUUUAUUUCACUAUCCAUAUCAUCUGCAAUCCACUCCUAAGGUUUCUCUUACCUUAGCCAAGAUAUUUCACCCGACUCGGUUUUGAGUCAAUCAUUCACAACUUACCGCCUUAUUGACUUAGCCAUCCGGCGGCGAACUCGCCGCACACGCCAAACAAUAGCUCAAGUCGUCGGGCGGUGUAAUUCUUUACUUGACUUAGCCAUCUGGCGGUGAACUCGCCGCACACGCCAUACAAUGGUUCAAGUCACUGUGUGGCGAAAUCGCUGCACGCACCCCGAUUAUCCAGCCUUCGGCGGUGAACUCCCCACACAUGCCUAAGCUGAUACCAAAAUCCCUUAGAUGUGCACAUCAUUUCUAUUCCAAGUCUCAAGGGUUCAUUAUUCACCCUAUAUCGUCAAUCUUUUUAGGUUCAUAUUCUCAUGUCCAAGUGGUCAUCCUGCCACUAUGUCUCAUGACCUAGGUUCAAUAACACUAAGUCCUAUGUCCUACCCACCUAGGUUCACUUGACUCUAGGUUCAAUUACCUUCCAAUACAAAUGGUCUUACUACCACUGUGUUUUCCAACCUAUGUUCAAUGAUACUAGGUUCUAUGUCCAAUCAUGUUAUUAGUUAUUCUAGUUGUCCACAUAUAGGAUUCAUGACAUCUAGUACUUGUUUCCAAUUUGUCGAAUUCUCUAAUUUUUCUAGAGUUCAUUGAUCUAUGUUCACAUCCACACCUAGGCAUACACACACACACACAAUAUAUAUAUAUAUAUAUAUAUAUAUAUAUAUAUAUAUAUAUAUAUAUAUAUAUAUAUAUAUAUAUAUAUAUAUAUACACACUCAUUCGUCACCAAUUGCCUAGUGUUAUACGUCCAAUGGUAGAUAAUUUACCCUAAGUAGCAUACAAUUUAUGCCUACUCAUUUAAGCAAUUAAUUUACCAUUACAUGCAUCAAUAAAAUAACAUUAAACUUUACUCUUUGGCAUGGAAGUGACCUAAUCACUUCAGUAAGCACAACCGACCUCACAACGCUUCCGAUUGCUUGUAGACACACGUCGCCCGAUUCGGUUCGACCAAGCCUAACGGAUGAAAUCUGACGAUAUCUCCAAUUGGACGCCGUAACCUCGCUGUAAUCCAAAUCAAGGUUGUCCCCCGUGGCAAUUUAUAUAACAUACCGAAACCUCGGUAAUUAAAUUCGAAUCUUGGUCAAAUUGACCAAAGUGCGAGAUUGGUAUACUUCGGAGAGGCCGAAGGCGUCGAAUAAUGCAAAAGUGCAUUACGGGGGACCUUCGAGAGCUUUGGAAAUCAAAAUAUGCAAACUGCAGGUUUUGUACUCUCAGGGACCGGUCCCUGGUGGGAGAGACCGGUCCCCUAACGCGUAGGCAGCGAGAUGGCCGAGAAAUCGGCUAAGUCCUAGAAAAUCAGCUCUUGGGAACCCGUCAUUGCGAGGAGAGACUGGUCCCCCAGAGACCGGUCCCAUCGAGGGAGACCGGUUGCAUCGCGCGCAGCCUGCGCAGUCCGCGGGAGAAGCUCUCGGGGACCGGUCCCAGGUCGGGGAGACCGGUCCUUCACUGCAAAAAAUGCCCAGUUUGGGCAGUGCACAGAGAAAGAGUUGAGGGGCCUUGUCGUAAUUGUUACAACACAUUAUAUACCCAUCCCCUCUCCCCUUUUCACAGCAAACACACUCCACUCUCUCCCUCUCAUUUCCUCUCCUCUCCCUCCCUAGAAAUCACUAGGGUUUGAAGGAGAAGAAGAAGAAGAAGCUUGAGGAGGGAUUUUUGGUGGACGUGGUGGGUUUAGAAGCUCUCCAACAAGAAGGAGCUUGCUAAAACUUGGGCCAAGGUAAGUUUUUAGCAUGUAGAGCUCUAGGGUUUGGAUUUUAACCUUGGAUUUUAGAGUUUUGGUCUCUUUAGAGGCUUUAGAAGAGUAGUAGAGCUUUGAAUACCAUGAAAACCCUAGUUUUCUUCAUGGUGCUCUAACGGGGGAUUUCUAGGGUUUGCAUUUUAAGCCCUAGAGAUGGUUGGAAUGGUUCUAAAUGAGCUUCUAGAGAUUAGACAAGUUCUUUUUUGCUUGUUUUAGAGAUCAAAACCUAGAUUUAAUAAUAGGUUUGGUUAGGGCACCAAAUUUGGGGCAUUUGCCCUAGGAUUUUUCGAGGGCAAAUUGACCUCGUAGAAACCUAAUUGGGGGUGUCCUCAAUGCGUUAGACAACUCCGUUCGACGUUACGAAAAUGUUUAAGUAUGGUUCACGUACAAAAGGCCUAAUAUGGCACUAUUUGGUUGUAGGUCGCGGUAUCGGCUUUCGUAAAGUUCGGGAGUCGUCAUAUUCUACUCCCACACGAUCACUUGAGGUGGGUGGUGCAUUCCAAGGACCUCAGAAAUUUCUUUAUGUUUAAAGUGUCAUGUUUGAACAUAUAAAUAUAUAUUGAGCAUCUUGCAUAGUAGGGUUAAUUGUGAGCUUUAUUGCAUGAUUGUAAAUUUAAUUGCGUAUGAAAUAUUGGUAAGAAUGUGAGAAUUGUAACCCUAUGUAUGCANCUCAGAAAUUUCUUUAUGUUUAAAGUGUCAUGUUUGAACAUAUAAAUAUAUAUUGAGCAUCUUGCAUAGUAGGGUUAAUUGUGAGCUUUAUUGCAUGAUUGUAAAUUUAAUUGCGUAUGAAAUAUUGGUAAGAAUGUGAGAAUUGUAACCCUAUGUAUGCAUGACAAGUGAUAAGAACUUAGAAGGAUUAGUGAACAAAAGUGACACAUGGACAUAAAUCUAGUGGGUGACAUUGAUGAGUAUAGAACACUUAGAAAACAAGUGUGACAUUUGGCAUGAGAACAAGAAUAUAGCACUUAAAAAAUAAGUGUGGCAUGAGUACAAGAACUUAGUAGUGUAUAUGACACUAGUGAUAGUAAAGAAUGCAAGAAAAGAAUGAUUGAGACAUUAUGACAUUUCAAACUUAGAGUUAAGGGUCAUUUGAACAUGGUCUUCCUUAAAGUUAAGGAACGGAUUGAACUUGGAAUCCUCAAUGUAGGAUUGAUCGUACUCACCUUUUAGUCCUUGCUCGAGGGUGGUAGCUUUCCCUCGGGCGAUGUGCUCCGGAGUCGACAUCACUGGGUCGUAGCGGGUAUCUCUCCAGAGGACGGUCCUAUCGGGUUGUAGCGGGUAUCUCCCCGGUUAAAUAGGAUUUUGGGUUGGUGAGUUUGUUGAGGGCGACACCUACGAGUUAGCCAAGAGAUUGGGUAAAGUAAUCGCGAUCCUGCAUUCAUCAUGUACAUUAUAUCGAGCAUCGCAUUUUUAUUGUUCAGGCAUACUAGUUGCAUUUGUUAGUUGGUUACCAUCUUUCUUCUAUUCUAUUACGCCUGAUUAGACCUAGUGGGAUAGUCGGCGUGGUUGGUUGCCGAACCCACUGGAAACUUUGUUGUAGGCUUGAGUCCUGGUGUGACUGAGUCGAGUCGAUUGUAAUCACUUGACGGUGUUUCUUUGUUAAUACAUAUGGCUCGUGGCUGACCCCCACGUCCAGGUCGUGGUGGUGGACGUACGCAUGAGGAGGCAUUUGGCGGUGCGCAGACACGUGCAUCUGCUGAUAGUGUUGGAGGAGAUUCCAGUAGCUCGAGAGUUUCCCAAUGUCUUUCCUGCGGAGCAACCUGGGAUGCCUCCAGACUGGGAGAUCAAGUUCUUUAUCGAAUUGGUUCCCGACACGACCCUGAUCUCGAAGGCCACCUACCAAAUGGCCUUCCCUGAGCUGAAAAAGAUGAAAACUCAACUUGAGGAUCUCUUUGAUAACGGGUUCAUCUGAUCUAGUGAAUCUCCUUGGGGUGCACCCGUCCUUUUCGUCAGAAAGAAAGACGAUAGUAUGCGAUUAUGUAUCGACUACCGAGAGCUUAAUAAGGUCAUGGUGAAGAACAAGUACCCCUUGCCACGGAUCGACGACCUCUUCGACCAGCUUUAGGGAUCGUCUGUCUUCUCGAAGAUCGACCUACAGUCGGAUUAUCACCAACUUAAGAUAAAGGUAGAGGAUGUGGCGAAGUCCGUUUUUCGAACUCGUUACGGACAUUAUGAGUUCAUGGUGAUGUCGUUUGGACUGUCUAACGCCCUGGCAGCAUUCAUGGAUAUGAUGAACAGGGUCUUCCGGUUAUUUCUGGAUCAGUUUGUCGUGGCUUUCAUUGACGACAUACUGAUCUAUUCGCAGAGCGACGAAGAGCAUGAGGAUCAUUUUCUACAAGUCCUCUAGACGCUUCGAGACCACAAGCUUUAUGCGAAGCUUAAGAAGUGUGAUUUCUGGCUUCGCAAGGUGUCCUUCUUGGGUCACAUCAUAAUGUAGUCAGGUAUUGCAGUGGACCUGAAGAAGGUGGACUCAGUGAUCCAGUGCCCCCGACCGACUACUGUGACCGAGGUCAGGAGCUUCCUCGGCUUGGCAGGUUAUUAUCGAUGGUAUGUCGAGGGCUUUUCUAAAAUCGCCACCCCGUUGAACAAACUGACAAGGAAGGUGUAACGACCCAGCACACUAGCAAUAAUAACUCGUUGGGCCCAGCCAACAGCCCAAAAUGCUUAAGCUCAGUUAUUAUUACUAGUGUCUAAAUCUCUUAUAUACCCAAUCACAUCCCCAUUUCUAUCUGAUAUGGGAUUAUUGGGGUGUGACAGACUCCCCCCGUUAAGGCCUUGACGUUCUCGUCAGUCCAAUCACACACACAGCCCAAGAUCACCAGGCGAUGUGAGACUCGUCUCGCUAGCCUUGUCAUCCAGACCCUGGCAUAGCCGGUCACCUUAUCAUUCAGACUCCGGCAUAGCCUAUCACCUUAUCUUUCAGACCCUGGCUCAGUCAAGACUUGCCACACAUGUCCAUCUGGUGAACUGGCUUGACACCAAAUGUAACGACCUAGCCCACUAGCAAUAAUAACUCGUUGGGCCCAGCCAACAACCCAAAAUGCUUGAGCCCAGUUAUUAUUACUAGUGUCUAAGUCUCUUAUAUAUCCAAUCACAUCCCCAUUUCUAUCCGAUAUGGGAUUAUUGGGGUAUGACGGAAGGGUGAGAAGUUUCGUGGGCUCCGGAGUGCCAAAGAAGUUUUGAGGAACUAAAGGAUAGGCUCACUCACGCCCCCAUCUUAGCAUUGUCGCGACCGGGUGACGACUUCAUAGUCUAUUGUGAUGCCUCAUGGAUAGAAUUGGGGUGUGUUCUUAUGCAGUAGGAUCGGGUUAUCGUGUAUGUGUCGCGUCAGCUGAAGGACUACGAGAGAAACAAUCCGACUCAUGAUCUUGACCUUGCAGCAGUGGUGUUUGCUCUUAAGUUAUAAAGGCACUAUCUUUAUGGGACACACUGCGAGGUGUUUACGGACCACCAGAGCAUGAAGUAUCUCUUCACUCAAAAUGAGUUGAUCCUCAGGCAAAGGCGGUGGCUCGAUUUCUUGAAAGAUUAUGACCUCUCGAUCCAGUAUCAUUUGAAAAAGGCGAACGUGAUGGCGGACGACUUGAGCCAGAAGCAGUCUUCGGCUGAUCUGUUCUUCAUACUCACUGAGCAGGAUUGCUUGAUAGAGAAGUUUCGUUGGUUGGAGUUGGAGAUGUUACCCACUGGGGCCACUGCCAAGCUGUUGACUCUAGUAGUGCAGCCUACCUUGGCUGACCGGAUUUUGCUCGGGCAGCAGUCAAAUUCGCAUCUACAGAAGAUUCGGACAGAUGUCGAGCAGGGUAAAGUGGGGGAUUUCACGAUCCACUCUGACGGUUCUCUUCGCUUCCGGGGCCAGAGGUGUGUGCUUGAGGAUUUAGAUUUGAAGAGAGACAUCUUAUCUGAGGCACAUCAGUCCCCAUACACUGUGCAUUUCGACGGAACCAAGAUGUAUCGCGAUUUGAAGUAGCACUUUUGGUGGCCGGGUAUGAAGCUAGACAUAGCUUAGCACGUGGUUCAGUGUCUAGUUUAUCAGCAGGUGAAGGCUGACAAUCAGCGACCAACCCGAAAUGCUGCAACUUCUUUUGGUGCUUGUGUGGAAGUAGGAGCAGAUUACCAUGGAUUUCAUCACCGGUUUGCCUCGGUCACAGUGAGGCCAUGACGCGGUGUAGGCUAUUGUGGAUCGAUUGACGAAAUCGGCCCACUUUCUGUCGGUGCAUAUUUCUUGGUCUCGAGAUCGACUGGCAUAGCUUUAUCUCGACGAGAUCGUCAUGCUUUAUGGAAUUCCAGUGUCGAUCAUCUCGAAUUGGGACACUAGUUUCAUAUCCAAGUUCCGGAGGAGCUUUCAGUAGGCUUUGGGUACGAAACUGAACUUCAGUACGGCUUUCCAUCCCCAGAGUGAUGGUUAGUCUGAGCGAGUUAUCCAAAGUCUCGAGGAUAUGAUUCGUGCCUGUGUCUCGGACUAUGGUGAGGAAUGGUUCAACUACUUACUGCUAGUGGAGUUCACCUAUAACAACAGUUAUUAGGCGAGUAUCGAGAUGGAGCCGUAUAAGGCACUGUAUGGGCGUCAAUGUCGGUCCUCUAUCGGUUGGGACGAUGUUGUGAGCACCGGGUGAUCGGGCCAGACUUGUUGGAGGAUGCAAAAACCAAGAUUUGCCUUGCGAGGGAGUGACUACUGACCGCACAAAGUUGACAGAAGAGUUAUGUAGAUCAACGACGGCGUGACUUGGAGUUCCAGGUUGGCGAGCAUGUGUUGCUCAAGGUGUCGCCGUCUAGAUGGAUCAAAUAGUUCGGGUUGCGGAACAAGGUUAGUCCACAGUUUGUUGGACUAUUUCAGAUUCUAGAACGUGUUGGUCUGGUGGCGUAUCAGUUGGCCCUUCCUCCGAGUCUCGCCCAGGUGUAUAAUGUGUUUCAUGUGUCCAUAUCAUUAGUCCGACAAUUAUCCAGCUGCGGGAGGAUCUGAGUUAUGAUGAGGCUUUUUUGUGAAUUCUGGCACAUGAGAUGAAGCGGUUGCGAAAUCAAAGUAUUCCGUAUGUGAAGGUUCUGUGGGAGAACCACCAGCAGUGUGAGGCUACCUGGGAGUUUGAGUCUGUUAUGGGGGAGCGGUAUCCUCAGUUGUUUAGGGGAGUUGAGUGAUUAAGUUUCAAGAAUGAAACUUCUUGUAAGGAGAGGAUGAUGUAAUACCUGAGAUUUUGAAAUUUGAUUUGGAAUUUGAUUUAUAUAUAUAUAUAUAUAUAUAUAUAUAUAUAUAUAUAUAUAUAUAUAUAUAUAUAUAUAGAAAGAGAGAGAGAGAGAGAGAGAGAGAGAGAGAGAGAGAGAGAGAGAGUCCGGCUAUGGUGCUUGUAAAAGUAUCAAGUACUUGGUGUUUGUAAAUUUUUUACCGUUAGAUCAACGCCUUUGAUAAUUUUCAACCGUUUGAUUAUACUAUUCAACCAACCACCCACUCAACCCUAGGGGGCCCACAUUAUCCUAUACGCACAUCUCUUAAUCCAAUGGUCAAAAAUCUACAAGUACCAAUAACUUGGUCCUUUUAAAAGCAUAGGAACUCAAUUAUAUAGAGUCUGGCUACUAUACUAUUAUGAGUAUGAUCGCCCUCGUACUCAUAAAUUGUUUUCGAUUAUAGAGCUUCCGAAUCGACGAUCCACACCGUUAAAUAUUUUCUAGAGCAUUUGAAACAUUUAGAAAUCAAAUUUCAUAAUUUUUCGACCUCAUUUAUCUUACGAUCAAAAGCUCACAAAAUUGACAAUUAUUAAUGGCCAGUAUGGAAUACUUGCUAGUUUAACGGUGCAAAAGAAUCCGAAUAGGUUGAAUUUUUGAUUGAAAAUUCUAUUCACUACCUAGAUAAAGAUCAAUAGCUCCGAUCUAAAAUUGAAGGAUCUGAUCAUCCAUUUUUAAGACAUCGUUCGAUUUUGACCAAUCAUUUUAUGCUCGCUUGAUUGACUUUAUUAUGAUUUCGAAAAAUUAUGAAAUUUAUUUUCUAGAAGUUUCAAAUACUCUAGAUCUUUUUUAACAGAGUGGAUCGUCGAUUCAGAAGCUCCAUCAUCGAAAACAACUUAUGAGUACGAAAGGCCCAAUACUCAUAUAGUUUGAGUGCCUACUUCUAUGACUAUAUUAUUUAUUAGUUAAUAUAGAUAUUAUAUAUAUAUAUAUUAAUAUAUAUUAUAUAUAUAUAUAUAUAUAAUAUAUAUUAUAUAUGAUUUAGGUCAGCUAUGGUGCUUGUGUCACGCCUGGGGUCAGGUUUUUAAAGUCUUUUUAUCCGAUACCAUUUUGAAAUCUCAGAGUCGCGGAAGAUGUGCCAUUUUUUUUUUUUUCCAACCUGGCCCACGUGACGUACAGACCCGCCACAAAUACGAAGUUCCUCCGUUCACUCGGACAGAGUCUCCUUUGUAUUUGCACGGCGUACCAACUGUACAACAAGAUCUCAACCACAACUUACAUUUAUCAAUUAACAACCAAUUCAUGAUAUGCAUUUCCAUACAGCUAUCGAUCCUUAGAGAUGAUGCGUGUCUCUAAGCACUCCUUAAGCGCUGGAUGAUGUAAUGCACAAUACAACAAUCAUCUUAUUUAAAAGUGCUCCCCAUCCGGAAGCUUUCUUUUUAAAAUCUAAUUCAAUCAUUCACAAAACUAAUUCGAAAACCUUUUUAAAACUGUUUCCCACAUAAAAACUCUAUUUUGAAAACCAGCUACCUCGAGGGCUAGAAAACCACAAGUAUAAAUACAACAACCGAGAAUCCAUAAAACCAGAACUACAGAUCCAUCAUUAUCCAUUCACAUGCAUGAAUAACGAAAAUAUCCACAAAACCAAUCCACGAACAGACAAACAAUCAUAGAGAUUAUCUAACUGAACCAUUUAUUAAUAAAGACUACUAAAUGCAUAAAUAACAAUAACCCGGGUGAUGGUCGCUACUGCCGACUAGCUAGAACGUCCUCUCAUCGCGCCUAACACCAACUCCAAGCCCGAAUGAAAUGGGGGGUGAGAACACGCAACCAUGAUUUUUCCAGUGGAUACGACAGAGCACGAAGGCAAGCAUAAUCACCGAAACCAAAGAGAUAGAUAACAUAUAUAUUAUAUAAAUAUAUAUAUAUAUAUAUAUAUAUAUAUAUAUAUAUAUACUGUGAUGCGAAAAGGAAACUACAGUAGCUAUAACAGGUAUAUAAGAAGCAAGAACUAAAACUACUACUGUAUAGAAUCAAUGCAAGUAUGCCUUAAUGUAAUAAACUAGAAAUUGUACCCAAUCUGUGCCUGCUAUAUAGGUCCACAGACCUCAAGCGCUGCCUGUCACUAUCUGCACCGACCUGAUCCAUCCGCCCCAUAGGACGACCGAUCCGGAUAAGUACACCUCCGAUCGGUGGCCAAACCGAUCCGGUGUCAUGAAUACCCCCAAGUGCUGUGACUAAGUCAUGCCAGUAUGCUCAAACAAAAACCGGCUAAAGCCGGUGCCUAGGCCGAAACCAGAAAUAAGGGCGUACAACGCCGAACCACGAUAGAUACAAGGGCGUACAACGCCGAGCCACGAUCAACCAGAUCGAAACACAUGACAAGAGAGUCGAUGUGUUGCCUGGACCCAAGGUCCACAACGAUGCAAAGUACAAAGGCAAGCCUGCUCUAUAUGUCCAUCCACAACUAUCCAAAUGCAAUCAACGAGAUAAGAUAACAGAACGAUAAACAAACGAAGACAUGUAGAGACUAUAAUGCUGGAAUAGAAAAACAGAAGGAGGUGAAACGCUCUCACCGACUACCAGCUCGAAGCACUCACCUGCCACAAACGCGUCGAAACACUGGGUAAGCACAAGUCAACCGGACCUACGAAAAUCCAACGGGUCAGUAACCAACCUACUCACUCGAAGCACGAGACUCAUAAGCCUCCCACACAAAAUCCCCAUAAUCGGUUUCCCAAAACCGAUCACCGUAACUCACCGGAAGUCCCGAAAACCACACCGGGACGCCGUCGGGACCCACUAAGUGUCCCGAAACUCGCCGACUCGUGUCACGAGUCACCUGCUACCCCAAAACACUCCGAUUUGGAUGUUUUGGCAGCAAACACAAUAUAACACCACUACACAAUUAUCGUCGGAUAAUUGUACGAAUCCGGGUUCCCGAAAGUGUCUAUUUCGACACCGGAACCCACCGUCGCUCACCCAUCAUCACCGAACCCACAAAAUGAUGAUGGUGACCAGCCAACAAGGCUCAGCGAUAAUUUACAGGAUAACCAAACCACGUCGGAAGAAAUCUGAACCGAAAUCGCAUUCUUUCAGCGAAUUUCGUCGAAAAACGCGCCGGAAUCGACUUUUCGAUUUUCGCAAAAGCUAUCAGAUCAUGGACAAUUAGUCCGAAGGUCACCACACACACCAACGCACUACCCAUAGUAGCCACAAGGUGUACAAAUGCAUAAAAGUCUCUAUGUUUACAUAAAAUCCAUCAUUUUAUGUAAUUCGGGCGACUUCUAUGACUCGUUCUCACAAACCGAGAACUUCUAAGGUCCGCCGAGAUACUUACUGACAGGUCUCGACGUGUCAGAGGCCGUGCUCACGGUCUGGAGCACAACAGCUCACUGUGGGAAGCGCGGGAGCAACCCAAAAAUUCUGUGAAUAGCGCGUAGUUGAGGAAAAACGCACCAAACAAAACGAUACGACAUCCGCUGAUCCAAAAUAAGGUGAGCACUGUGAUCAGCACUGAUCCAUGAUCACCGUGCUCACCUCCAGAGGCAUCGGAACAGCCUCGGAUCGCCGUAAAAAUGUGCAUAAUCCUAAAAUAGCAGCCAAAAAGGCUCUAACGAAGCGACACCGCCGAAACAGCGGAAAGGAGUCUCCCCGACAGAAACUAAGGUGAGCACGAUGAUCAAAAAUUUGCCACGAUCACCGUGCUCCCCUCCGUAGAGAUCAGGGAGGCUUGGGAAGCUCGGAACAGCAAACCGCCAAGGAAUAGCCCUAUUUUGGGCUUGGCCGGAGCAAGCUUGCUCCGGCCGGCUUCCGGCGGCACGGCGUGGUGCGUGCGGGCCAGGAAUGGGUGCGGGGGAGGUAGGGAGUGUGGUGCUUACCUUAGUUGGCGGCGGGGAGCGGCGGCGGCGACGGCGGAAAGAGAAAAGCCCGGACGAGUUGAAGCUCGGGUUCCAGAGCAAUGGCGGCCACGGCGGUGGCCGGGGCACCACGAGGCGGCGGCGGGGGGGUCGCCUGAGGUCGGCGGGAGGCGGCACGGGUGGCUCCGGGCGGCGGCGACGCGAGAGGAGAGAAGGCGGGUCCGCUCGGCCCGAAUAGGCUGGGGCGACCGCGAGCUGGCCGAGAGGCGGCGGCGACCGGCCGGGGUUGGUCGCCUAAGUUCCGGGGAAGGUGGCCUGGGUAGUCUCAGGCGGCAGCGGCGCGCGGCUAGCAGAUGGAGUUCGGCUCGGCCAAAACUGCCCUAGCUGGCAGCAGGGUGCUGGGGCGGCGGCAGCAGCGCUCGGGGAAGGCGGCGACCGGUGGGGAAAACUCCGACGGUGUCGGGGCAACGCCGGCAAGGUGCAGGGAGGCAAAGCAGCCUCCGCCAAGGCUCCAAACCGAGAAGAAAAGAGAGAGAUAGAGAGAGAGAUGGAGAAGGAGCUACAGGGAGAUGGAACCUCCUUCUCCGGCGACCGGCAGCGUGUGCCGGCGGCUGGGGCGCGCGCCGUGCACUCAGGGGAGGGAGUAGAAGGUGGCAAGGUGCGGCUAGGGCUAGGGUUAGGGUUAGGGGAUCAAAAACCCUAGGAGCUAUAUAUAUACCAAGGUGCAACUUUGCGAGUUAGCCCCCCAAACCUCAGUAUUUAAUACUGAGUCCUUCUCAGUGCGUGUAAAAUGCGCGAACACACUUCCACGUCUGGUUUCACGAGAAACGUAUCGCAACUUUUGCAAAAAUACCGUUUUGCCAUCACCGACCUCUCCUCGAUCAACGCGUAAUCUCCGCAGAUCCGCCUGUCAGAUUUGCGAACGGAUCACACCAGUGCGAUCAGCACAAUAGAGACAACAAAGCUACAAUUUCGUUUCGCCUCGAUCCAUCGCAGAUUCACAACGAAAUCCGAUCCAUCUCUCCAACAGAAGAACUACGCACAAACACAUAUAAAACACGUAUUUCGGAUUUUCUCGAAAUCCGUGCGUCAAACUCAAAAUACGUCAGGGCUAUCAGUUCCAAAACAGCUAAACCGGUCGAAACGAGCUAUUG
rnacentral:lncRNA from 1 species